rnacentral:lncRNA from 1 species
CAUAAAAUUCAUUAUUUGUGACCUAGAGUUGGAAAAUGUACACUUGAAAAUUAUUAUUAAGUCUAUUAUUUGUUCUUUUUCAACUUCAUGUUUAAAAAUGGUGAACACAUAUUUGUGGGUAAAUGUUGAUUUCCUUUGCCGAAGAAUCUCCAAUUUUAUUGUUCUAUGCAAGAUGUACAUGUAACGUAAUAAAGUUGUAACUAGGGCUGUGCAUCGAAAUCGAAAUCGGUAAAUCGGAAGUUUGAAAUUGGAAUUUUUUGAAAUUUUGACAUGAAUUUUUCCGACCGAAUUCGAUUUCGAAAUGGCCAAUUCCGAUUUCGAAUUCGAUACCCGAAUUUCGAAUUCACCGAAUUCAAACCUACUCUACUCUUAGUCUACUGCACUUCCUCCCUUCUCGGUCUAUUGCUAUUCUACUUCACUCUCACCGACCACUGCAAACUCCUGCCAGUCUAAGUCUACUCCGUUUUCUCCAACUUUCUCUACGCUACUUGUGAUUUAGUAAGUAGUACAAACUGCAAAGAGAAACGACCAAUGGAAGGAGGGUUGGAGCUGAGUAAAGUGACGCUGGAAAUCUUCUCCAAGCUCGAGCAACAGUGGUUGCAUCACUGCCAACCCCCAAGAAGACUCACAUUCUCAGUAUCGACGGCGGCAGAGUCGGCUCCCCCUCUGCCAUCUUCGCCGCUCAUUCCUUGAUCCUUCUCGAAGACCAGAUCCAUGCCAAAUCCGCUGAUUCCCAAUCUCGCAUUGCCGAUUUCCUCAAUCUUAUCACCGACACUGGCAUUGGAGCUCUUUACGCUGCAAUGCUUGCCGCCGACGACGGUUAUGGACGUCCUUUGUUCACCGCCAGGGAUGCCGUCAACUUCAUCGCCCAAAACUAGUCCCGGCUCUUUAAAGUCAAGGGCACCCUCACCCUUUCAAGCUUGCUUUUGGUUACCGAUCCGAUCGCAAGUAAAUGAGAUACUCUAAAUAUACCAACCCUGUCCUCUGUUCUGGGUGUAGUCUAUCGCCCUUUCGGCCCACUGAGUAGGCCUUUUUCUUUCAAUACGACGGCCUCAGCUUAUUCUUUUAGACUCGUCCCACGAAGCGGUUUGGAACUCGUUUCGUAUGCGGUAUCACCUCUUUAGUUGAUUGUCCCGGCGAACCUGAGUAUGCCUCCUUUCCGCCAGCCUAGGCUUCGGAAUUCUCGCCGACAAAGGUUCUCUGGCAGGAGCAUGGAUGUGGCGUGAAGAUGGAGGUGAAACUGAGAGUGAGAGAGAGUAAGUUGAGGAAGUAGGAAAUCACAGUGAGUCGGAGACGGAGGAAGGAAGGUGAGACAGUGAGUCAGGCGUGGAGGCGGUGGAGGGGAGGAGAGGAGAAGGAAGGUGAGAGAUAGUCUUGAGAGACGAUGAGGAAGAGGUGGCGAAGAGUAACAAGAGUUAACAGAUUAGGUUUUUGCAAUUUCAAUUGUUAGAUGUAUCAGUAUUAUUGUUAUUAACUUAUUAUGUUAUAUAAUAUAUAUUAUAUAUGUAUUGUUAAAAAAAUUAUAUAUAAAUAUUAUUAUUCGAAAUUAAAAUAACAGUUCCGAUUUCGAAUUCCCCAAUUCGAAAUCCGUAAUUACGAUUUCAAAAAUUAUAUUUUCGAAUUCGAUCCGAUUUCGACCAAUUCGAAAUUGGAAUUAUCGAAUUCCAUUCCGAAUUACUGAAAUUCCGAAUUCGAAGUUUCGAAUUCAAUUCGAAAUCGGUCGGUAAAUCGAAAUUUUUCGAAUUUGCACACUCCUAGUUGUAACUAGUUGACUAAUCUAACUAAAGCAUCCCAUAUAACAAAAGUAGUGUGUCUAACUAACUAAUUAGUCCACAACUGGUUAGAAAGUUAUUUGUAUAAAGUACUGCUACUUUCAAGGUCAAGAAUUAAGGCCCUAUUUAAAAGGUGAGUUUUUUGGGUGUUUGUCUAAAAUUUUACUGUAGUUUACUGUAGAAGUUUUUUAAAAAAAUUUUGAAGUGUGUUUUUUUUUGAAUAUUUUGAAGUGUAUUAUUUAAAAACUUUGAAAAUUUUUUUGAGAUUACUGUAGGUAAAGUUUUAAAAAAGUUGUAGCAGACAAACUUGGCAAAAAACUUGGCUUAAGUUUGGAUUGCAUUUUUCUAGAUCUUUUGUAGAAAAAAUACUAUAACAAUUUAAUAUAUGUGAGGUAAAAAGGUGAUUGGGAAACGUGUUCACCGAAAACGUAGCAAUUUUUCUUUAGAAAAUGACUGUCCAAACAAGGCCUGCACUUGACAAAAUUGUUUUCCCCACCCACAUUUAUAGUUCCUACUAUUUAUGUAACUUAAGUUAUAAUGUUUAAGUUGAUUGAACUGCUAUAAUCUUAUAACAAAGAGUAUAUUUGGUACACGUAUUAUUUCUAUCUUAUUUACACACACUGAUUUAUUUGUAUUAUCAACAAUUUUUUAAUCACCUUAUUUAUCUCACAUACAUCACAUCAAAAAAGUGCUACAGUAUUUUUUCACAAAAUUAUCUCAAAUAAUUUACUAUCCAAACACACUUAAAAUUACAUGACAAAGUUUAAGUAUUCAAUUUGAUAUAUAGCUUCCCAAUUGGGUUGUUUGUGUCAAUUGAGAAAUAUUGAAAAUCCUAUCAUGGGGCAAAGUGAGAAACAUGUUUUGUCGAGGGGCAUGUUAGUACCUCCAAAAAGAAACUACGCCGUCCCGUUAUCUUUGCUUCUUUUUGUCUGUUUUCUUCUCCUCCCCAUCUGUAAAACCCUUCACCGGUUCACCCUGCUCCAAGUGCUCUCUCCUUGGCCCUCUCUGAUUUUCUCGAAGUGGGUUCUUCAGUCCAGAAGGUAACAACUAAAGGCUCGCUCUUUUUCUCUUCCUUCCCUUCGAUUUUUAGCUUUGCAGCAUUGAAUAUUGAAUUCUGAAUUUCUUUUGACUGGCAAAAUCUUUGUAUCUGUAGGGUUUUAUUCUUAUUACGUGUUUGAGCUUAUAUUCACAUGCUUACAUAUUUCAACAGCCAUUUGGUAUAAUCUCAUUGUCUUGUAUAUCCUGUUUUUCUCCGUAUUUAAUUCCGGAUAACAUGGGCUAGUAAUUUUAUAAUGUUGAUUACCAAAAAGAGGAUCUUCCAAUGAGGUUUUUUUUUUCUCCUUUUUCUUUUUUGAUAGUGCUCUCGUUGAGACUCAGCAUCAUAUCAUUUUUCCUUGGUCAAAGAAUUAUUCAUUUUUAUUGCCCUGAUUCCCUUUAUCUUAAGCUUAUGCAAUCACUUAGUUAUGGAAUUUUUCUGGAACAUUGAUAAGCUUAUAGUUUAUCUAGAGUAAUAACAGGCUUUUAUGCAUAUUUGAUGCUCCUAUGUAUGGCUUUUGCUCUUUCCAUUUCCCUGCUUGAAGAUAAGAAGUGAGAUUGCCUGAAUGUAAGCUGCUGCAAUGAUUGAAAAUGGUGUACUAUUUGUGGAAGUGGUUAUUAUGCUAUAAAAUUUUCAAAACAAUUUAUAUCAUUUUGUAAUGAAAGGGUUUUGUGGAGGGUAAGAAAUACAUGGCAUUUGAAGGAAAGGGAGAUAGAAUUUGACUAAUAAAGAUCAAUGUUUGAAAAUUAUGUUCUGUACUUUCUUAUCAGAAUCAUUGAGCUGUUGCGUUUCCUUUAUUGAAAAAGCAGAACAAAAGAAUUCUUGGUCAGGGUGCGUCUCUUUGGUGACACGCUAAUUGAAUUUUGUGGAGAAAAGUCAUGUAGUUUGCCAUAUUUUAAAUAAAAAUAAGACCUUUCUUGAUGGAUUUACCUUUUCUUCCCCUCUUUCUCCUAUUUUUCGCUAUAAAGGUUUUAUGAUAGCAUGAAGUGUAGCGGUUGAGCAAUUAUCUAGAAAUGGUGGAUUGGUGGUGGUCUAUAGUUGCGGCUGCAAUACCAGCUGUGGUUGCAGGGCAGGCUUUCAGGAUGAAGAACAGGCGAGCGGACGAGCAGAGGUUAAAGAGUGCUCGGGGUCGCGAAAAGAGCUCAGAUGAAAUAUUUGUUUGUGAGAGGGUGUGUACUUCGAAGAGGAUGCUGAAGAAGGUUGGCGCAUUUUCUAAAGACCCAACUCCUGAUACUUGUGUGACUGUUUGCGGUGUUUCUGAGCUAGAUGCUUGCGCUGAUGCUUGUGCCCGGACUGUCUGUGUUAAUCAACAUCAAGUGCCUAAUUGGAAUGACAUUUGUCUUAAGAGGUGUCAAAGUGAGUGCCUUAGGCUCUCAAAUUCUUCUGCUAUGUCUUCAUAGCAUUGCUAUUGUUUUUAAAAUGGCCUCAGGAUUCUACUGCACCUGACGUUCUGUUUGAGAUGCGUAUCCCUUUUCAAAUUCAAGAUUUAUGCUUCUCAUAUUGAUGGUGCUUUCUUAUCUCGGUUUUAUCUUCUGGUUGACAACUUCAUGUUUUUUUUAUAUCAAGUAUUUUCUUUUUAUAUCCAUCCCGUCAUACUCCACUAAACUUGAAGUCGGGGGGAUUUUAUCUACCCCAGACGCAGAAUAACCUCAGCACAUGGAAGAUUAGGGAUGUAGCAUCCAUCAUCUCUGAUGAGGGAUGAUCAUGAUUGGCUCCAUAUUCAUACUGCCUUGACGCAUGGUUAAUGGGGUUUAUUCUGUCGCUGAUGGUUAUAAUCCAAAUGGUAGUAUGAGAAAUUCCGAUUCUCCUCUGUUAAACGCUCACCCAUGUUUGAGACUCUAGAUCUUUUAUUUCAAAUGAUGGCAAUGGGAGAUUGCUGAUUCUGUUUUGCUUGGUAAUAUUCUGAGUUUAUAUUCUCUGAUUCUCCUCUGCUAAGCUAAAUUGAAGAUUAAGCAUGAUGGAAGACGUAAGUUUAUUAAAUCCCUUGCAACACAAAGCAAUUUCCUCCAACAUGUACAUCUAUCUCUUAAGAUGGGCACACUGCCCUGGUUAGUGUUCUCUGAGCUUAAAGCUAAGAGAGAAUCUGGAAGUGUUACACAGCUAUAGAUUUAGUAGCCAUGCAGUCUCAAUUCCCUGCUCGUCUACGUACAUAGCCUUAAAAUUCAACUCUCAAACACUCGAGUCAAUAUGAAUCAACUGCAAGCUAAAUCCUUGCCAUAUUGACUUUAAUUUAGACAUGAAUUCGCAAGCACAUUCACAGCUACUACUACAUACCAAGAACAAUCAUCGGUCAUUGACAAAUUUUUGCCUGCAAAGAGCGAGAUUGUACAUAGGCUUCCCUACAUGGAGCCAGUUCCAGAGCAACAAAAUAUACAAACAUUUUAACAUUUCUACAAACAUAGGGCAUCAGAUGAACAACUAAACUGAGUACCAAAUACACUUCCGACAACCUAAACAUCAGCCACCUUAUGCGAAGGAAUCCAAUCAAAACGUGUCCAAAAUUUUCAGCACAUCACAACUUAGAAGCUGAUACUACUGUUACCAAACUCAGUCCCCCUCCCUUCCAUCCAACCAAUCUAUUCCAAUUCCAACUUAUAAGCAGGUUCUUCUUGAACCCAUCCACCUAGUCAGAUUCUUCUAACUCAUCAGCAGGAAAACACAUUCCCCGUGUAAUCCAUCGGAGCCGAAUUCCACCAUUCACCUCCAUCACCAGUUCGCCGCCUCAUUCCACCGCCAACCAAGUUCACUGCUCAUACAUUGAUCACAUUCUUCCUAGGCCUACCUCUCUUUUUAGCACUCGGAUUUGACACUCUUGCCACCUUCGCAGUCUUCUGCUCCUUCCUCCCACUCUCCAUCCCCACCCCAGCAUUACCACCAACAUUUCUAUUAUUGUUUUCCUCAUUACCCGGAAACAUCGGAGGCAUCCAAUUCGGAAACCCAGAAGCAUCAACACCCUUCCCACCAUCCAAAUCCCCACUCGCAAAACCCAUCGGAAAAAAACCCCAACAACAGUAAUACGCCUCUUUCCCCGGCACCGCGGCGGCAUUGCCGAAAUCUCCAUCCCAGUGAACGCCCUCUCGCAAUUCUCACACCUCAAACAACACCCCUCGUAAAGCCUGGGAUACUCGUAAAGAUUAUAACAGUACGGACACACCGUCCAAAACGUCGUUGUAGCCCCCCUUUGUCCCCUCAUGGCCCCACCACCACCACUUCCGCUAUUGCUCAAAUUACUCCUCCGGCCCGAAGCCCGGGCAGUGUGGGUGUAGAGCUAUUGACAUUGCUAGCAUUGUUACCAGCACCACUAGCAUUAUUAGCGGUAUUAUUUCCCUAGAGCUUCGCCGGACGGGCAAUUUCUGAUUGGAGAGAUCAUUCUUGUGUUGGCGCUGCUGCUGCCGCUGUUGUAAAUCUUUCUGCCUCUUCAUAGCAGCUAGAUCUAUCUUGGUAAAAAACGACAGCUCCUUAUCGUAGGCGGAUUUCUGGACGGGAUCGGACAGAACGUUCCAUGCAUCGGCAACGAGGCGGAAAGCGGAUUCGGCGAAUUCGAACUUGUUCUUGUCCGGGUGGAGAAGAAGAGCGAAACGACGGUACUGUUUCCUAACGAGGUCGGAGUCAUCGGUGCGGUUGGGGAGUUGGAGAAUCGAGUACCAGUCGUUGUGUUGGCCGAUACGCUUUUCGGAAGCUAGCAAGACUUGGGCUACGGCUAAGAUCUGCUCGGAGCCGUCGACUAAGGGCUCGGUUUCUUGAGCUAAGACGGCGAACUCUUUGCAGCCGGCAAAGUCGCGGUUGCGGAGAAGUUUCUCGGCGAUUCCUAGUAAGCGUUCGGCUUCAGCUCGGGUGGUGGUGGUGUGAUGUUCCAUUUUUUCUUGGGGAAAUUUUUUUCUUUUUUUCUGAGGUUGGAUUGCUUUAAAUUUUUUCGGAUUGUUUUGAGGUUUUUUUUCCCUCUGUCUCCUCGAGGACAGUCCGGAAAUGGAGCUUGGGAAGUUGGGACGGUUUCAGUGGGUGGGUUACAGUUACUGACUGGCUUUCACGGGUUUGGGCUGCAGUUGGCGGGUACAACUUACUAAUGCACAAAGUAUAACAAGUGUGUGUGGAUUGGAAAUUAUUUAAAAUAUUAUUGAAAAUAAUUACCGUAAGAAAUUUUGUGAUAUUAUGUAAUAUAUGAGAUAAAACAAAACUUGAUUGAAAAUUAUAAUUAUGAUGUAAAUAAAAUAAUAGUUGAGAUAUUUUUGUUGAGACGUGGCACACUUCUAUGAAUUAGAGGAAAAUGCACACCCUAUACGUGUGCAAAUUAAAAGAAAAAUUUAUUAAAAAAAAAGAACAGUUAUUAGAAUAAUUUUUUUUUUGUUGUUAGAUUAAAAAAAAAAGAAAUUUUUGGCAAUUAUUGCAUGUUUGUACUAUUUAACUUUUUAAUGAGAGAGUAAAUAAGGAAAAACUAAAAAAUGACAAAAAAAAAAGGUCCAUAUCAUACCCAUUUCUCUCCCUUCAUACAUAGUAAGAUGAGAUAUUUUAAGCACAAAAAUUACAAAGUCGGCAAUUAUUUAUUCGAUGGGUUCUAACUUUUAUGUGUUGUGUUAGGAAUCAAAUGCAUAUCAGGUGAAAAUUGAUAUUUAACCAUCCCAAAGGAUCAGCAUCAUCAUUUGGCCCUUGUGUCCCAAAUAAUGAGUUAGAGAGUACAAGUUUGUUCCAAGACAAUGUAUUUGGAUAAAGGACUACUUGGGAAAAAAUUUUAGACUAGUACUUUAGCAAUUUCUAGUUUUUAUUAUAUGGUAUUUGUGUGAUAAAAUGGUACUUAAAAAUAGGCAAUGAUUUUGGCACUCUUAAAAAACCUGUUAGCACUCCUUCCAUGCUAAAUUACAAUUUAAUAUAUGAAAAAGACUACCAAUACUUAUUUUUUAUUUUUAUUUUUUUGUGGCACAAAUAUUUGGAAGUAAUUGUAUGUUUCUUUUUACGUUUCUUUCUAAUUUGUAGUCGACUAAAGAUUUGAAUAUUUUAUAUGUAUCGCAAGAUAGAUUUUUGUCGGAUUCGGUGAUGAUUAUUUACAAGAGUGAUAGUUUAUCCUUUAAAUAUGAGGUUAUCUUUGUGAUAGUCGGAUGCAUCUGAAACUAAAUUAAAUUUUUUAGAUAGUGAUUGGUACACUUUGAGAGAAAAAAUGAUUUUUUGAUGUUUGUCCAAGCCACACAAGUGUCUGUUCAAUUAUGGCUCCAAAGUCAAAAAUUAAAACAGAGAGAAUUAUUAAUUCAAACAUAAUAGUCUUUCUUCUUCUUUUUUUUUUUUUUUUGGUGUGUGAUUUCCAGUAUAGGUAUUGGUACAUGACGUGUUAAUUUGCAGGCAUGAUCCAGAUCAAAACUGCGAUCUCGUAAUUCUCGCAGUUUGGGCUAAAAUCUUCUGAAUCAUUUAUGCGGAUCCGGUUUGGCCGAGCCUGCUUCCUUCUUUUGUGCUAUAUACGCACUCUUUCUAGUCCAAGCGCAAAACGAGUCGCAACAAAUCCAAGAGUUAACAACAUCCAAAUCAUUAGAGCCGAGUGGACAAAACGGUGAGUUUGGGUCGAAGUUUGAACGCCCAAAUGGGCAUCGGUGAAGAUUUUUAAUUCACUCUGAUUCCUGGGUCAAGUCACGAAUUACACUUCCAGAUGGAAGAUUCUUUUGUUUAGACUUCAAAAUGAUUUGUCAUGGAUGGAUGCUUGUAGGCUCUGAAAAAGCGUUGCGGAAGCAUACAUAAUUUGACACAUAUAAACGUUAUGGGAGAAAAGAAUUUCUUACUUUUAAUGCAAAUAUAGAGCACAUUCGAUUGAAACUAGCAUAAACUUUACUGUAAUUGCCUUUACAAUAACAAAGACUCUCACCAUUUUUAUUUUUUGGGGGGGGGGGGGGUUCAUUGGCGUAGGAAUAAGAGCUUUUUAGAGGUGGGCUAGUGGUUUCUAUGUGUAUAACGUACGGUUGGAAUUUCAAUAUUGGGCUCAAUGAGGAACAUUGCAGCAAGAUGAGCCCAGCUCUGAGUGGCCGAUCCUAAUUUUUGUAUCCCGUUGCUCUAUAGAGCAAUAGUUUGGUAACCCAGAAAUAGGGUAGGCAUGGUCGAGUAUUCGUCCCGUGCACCAUUUGCUGACUCGACCCGCACCUUGCGAGUCAGUCAUUUUUGACUCUUACCCAUCCCGUAUAUCAGUGGGUACCGAAUUAUCGAAUACUCACCGAGAUAGGGUCGGGUCAAUCGUACCCGUCCUGCCUCACUUAUCAUUUAAUUUUCUGUAAAAAAAUGAUUUAUACUAGUUUAAUUUUGUAUUUUACAUAUUCAUAUAAGAUUUAAUAAAUAUUUUGUUUCUCAAAAAAAGUCUCUCACUAAGAAACAAACAUGCGAAAAGAAUACAAGAAAAAUCUACAAAUGAUUUUUGUAAACAAACUAUAGUGUCUCAUAUUUGUAAUGCAAUUUGCUCAAUGAAAUUGUUUAUAUAGUUCUAAAAUUAUUAUUUUAUAGUAUGUGUAUAAAAAUAUUAAAAAAUAUGCCGGCCGUCGAGUACCUGCGAAUUUUUAAUUAUGUAACUUUAAUCCGCCCAGCAUUUAAACCAGUAUCCGACUCUCUUUGACACGAUCAAAUAAUAUGAAUCAGGUAUCCUAAUUUUCGAAUCAGAUCGGAUCGAAAAUGCGAGUUUUUUGGUUAGUGGGUAUUUUUGCUUUCCCCUACACAGAAAACGGGAAAAAAAUGUGGUUCCCCUUCCCAAAAAAAAAGAAGAGAAAAUACACUUUCGACCAUUGAAGUUUAGGCAGCUAACGAUUUGACCCCAAAAAUCUUAUCCAUGAAAGUUUUUAGCACCUGAACAUGGACCCUUUGAUUGAAUCUGCCACUUUGUAUAUCAUCUUUAGCAUUGAAGCCGUUACUAUCGAGAACACAAUUGGGUCUGUUUGAAUUGUGUUUUUCUAAAAAAAAUUUACCACAGUAUGUUUUAUGAUCUGAUAUAGGUGUGGUAAUUUUUAAUACGACAUGAAAACAUGAUAUGAAUCUAAUACGAAAUUAAUGGAUUUUGGUUGAGAUUUUACGGGUUCAGAUUAAAAUCGGGUCGAACCCAAAAAGAAAAUAGAUCGAAUUCAUAUCAUAUACGGGUUGACCCAAUAACCCGUUUAUGAAUUAAAAAGAAUUUAAUAAAUAUAAAAAUAUUUUAUCAACAAAACUAAGUUAUUCUUUUUUUUCCCAAAGGCAUUCAUCACUUAAUCCUAAAUAAAUUUGUUUAACUUGUAUGAAGUUGGAAUUAUUAUGUUUGGACAAAUAAUGCAUUACAUUAUCUUCUACUUUUAUAGUGUCUUAAUUUAUUUUAGAUCUGGUUUGGGAUAAAACACUUCUACAAUGUUUGAAUUUAUUUUAGAUCUGGUUUGAAAUUGCUUUAUCGAGAUUUUUAUUACUUCAUUAUAUUAUUAGUCUUUUGCGAAAUUGGUUCUAUUAGAAAUUACAGUGAUAAAUUAGUAAAUUGAAAUUCUGUUUUAGGUUAUAUCAGGUCAAUCUAAAAAUUUCAAGUUCAGGUCAACUCGAAAUUGACCCGCCAAUUCAAAAAUUUUAGGUUCAGGUCAGGUAUCUUGACCUAUUACGGAAUGGGGGGUCAUGUUCGAGUCAGCAGGUUUUUUGUUAUACUCGGGUCUCAAUCCGAUCCCCAGCCCAUUUCUGACCCUAUUGCCAGCCCUAAUAUGAUAUAUACAAGAUAAAAAAAAAAGUGAUUGCUAGACAUGUUUAUGAGAAAUUUCAGUAAUAUUCUCCAAGUAAUGCUCAAAUAUUAUGCAGGUAUUGUAGUUUUUUUUAAGUGUUGAAUUUUUAUUAAGAUUUAAAAUUAGAUAUUGGUCAUUCAAAGUGGUGAAAAAUGGAAAGUUAGGUGUCAACAGUUGUUAAGGAUAUUAGGAUUUCAAGUAUUACGACCAUUAUGGCUCAAGGGUGUCGGCUGCGAAGUAGCAUUUGUGGAAAUAUUUACUUCACGUUUGAUCGAUGUGCCGUAUAGUCGUGACAUUGUACUAAAAGCAAGGAUGCAAUGCAGAGUAUAUUUUCUUGUUUUUGGAUUGCAGAGGAAAAAUCUCAGGCAAACGCCAAAAUGGCAAGUGCAUGCAAUGUACACUAGAUCCCACUUUACCAAUUCAAUCCUUCACUUUUAAACGCAAUUGAAGACCUUUUUCUGUAUUUAUCUGAGUUGGAUCAAAAAUGAGAGAACAAGUAGUUUUCAUUCACCUUCUUUUCUUGCUUUCCUUUUUCCUUUAUAACAUUCGGAUCCAUAUGGAGCCUAACGGGGAAAGGGGAUGGACAAAUUAUCUCCAAAUUUUCAUCUUUAUGAAAAGUUCUUUGACCAUUGAACCUCUGUACCUUGUUUAUAACUAAUAAACUACACAGACGACGAAAUACCAAUUCCACAUGUAAACAGUAAAGUUCCUCAAUAUUCUGCUAAGAAUCGAAGCGAAAAGCGGGCAGGACUAAAAGAUGUAGUAUGAUCAACAUCUCUCUGUCUUUUGCCCUAUUUGCAUUAUUGUAUGGGCAAGAUGCCACUUUCUUUGAUCCGCUCAUGACCUAUCACUGGGUAAAAAGCACCCACAUGAAUGCGUACAAACAUAUGAUAAUAGUUUUACUCCUUUUUCUUUUUUCCUUCCUUUUUCACCUCUUUGGAGCUCGAAAAUGUUGUGAGAAAAUAUGAUUUGGACUAGUUUGGUUUGUACAAAAACUACGCAGAAACAAAGGACAAUUCAUCAACUGUGGAAUGGAAGUACGCAGUUGUAUUAUGGCGAUAACUACAACUCUAGUAAAUUGUCAAAGUUUUGACUUUUACGGAAAUGGCCUCAUGUUUGAUUCAAUUGAAGAGGAUUUUGAACUAAACAAAAAACGGGCUCAUCGUAAAAUUGCUAUAUAUAUAUAUAUAUAUAUAUAUAUAUAUAUAUAUAUAUAUAUAUAUAUAUAUAUAUAUAUAUAUAUAAGUAAAUUUUAUAUACAUUGACAAUGUAUAUACUAUCAUGGUUAGAUGCACGAUAUAUAUAUAAAAUUUAGAAUUCAAAUUCAAAUUUAGAUUAUGUGCCAUGAAUCUAAUGAUAAAAUUAUAUACAUUAUCAGUAUAUAAAAGAUUAUUCCUAUAUAUAUUUAUAUAUAUCUUUGUACCGACCAUUGUCACGUUGGUUGAUUCCGAACUGAAAGAUUCACAAAACAAAAUUGCUAUAUAUCUUUGUCCUAAUCAUUGUGACGUUGAUUCUGAACCGAAAGAUUCACAAAACACAUCAAUUCAAAGCAGUAAACACCGGAUGCUACCCUCCCGUAAUAUGUUAUUGCCUUUGCCAAGUGUAUGGAAGAACAUUUCACUUCUUCUUCUUCUUCUUUUUUUAAAAAAAAAAAAAAAAAAAUUUAAACUCAAACUUUAGAACAAGGAAUCUAGAUGUGCGAUCACCGAGUUCUGUUCACCUUUAUAGGACAUCGCAUGCAAACAAACAACCUUUGGACAAGAUUCUGACUUUCUUUCUUUAAUAAUAAUAGGUGGAACUGAACAAAGAAAGAAACAAUAAUAGAUUCUAGUAAUCCUCUAGAUCUCUCACACGUGUACACAUGAGAAUCAUACGCUUAUGCUUUUUCUAGCAUCUGCAUAGAAAAUAUCUAAGGGGGAAGAAGGUAGAUUGGAAGCAAAGGAAGGGUAAAGUCGAUGAUCACUAAAUUCCAGCCUCAGCAAUCUCAUCGAUCUUUUUACAUUGUGCGCCUUUCAACUUUGAUUGAUAGCAACCGACUAACUUUUCUAUACCUUGAGUCAGAAAGGACAGAAAGCCGACUUUACCUUGCACUUGCCUAAAAAUGGGAAAGCCUAGGGUAAAAAUCACAAAACCAUUUUGGAUCACAUUUGAUUAUAGAGUUAAUUUCAUGAACUUCUCCUGAAAUUUAUCUUAAUAUCACCUAGCACCGCUAAGGUUUCCGACAUCUCUUAUAGGUCGAUCUCUUAUAAUUAUGACAAUUUGUGUAACAUUAAUGUCACCCCUUAUGUGUAAAAGCAAUAGUAUUAAAAAAUGAAACGCAUUGAAGAAGAGAGAUUAUAUUAUCUUUUUACUUUUAUCCUUGUGUAAUUUGAUUUAUGAAUUUUGAAAUUUAGAAAAAAAAUAAAUAAAUAAGGUGGAACAUUAAACUGAGAGAACGCCUCUGCGUGCAAGGAUAACUUCUAAAGCUAGUUCAACAUUUUAAAAAGGACUGAAACUUUGAGAGUUUUUUUUUUUGCAACAAGAAGGAAACUAAGAGUAUAGAUAUUGUAGCAAAGAGACACAACAAAUGUUGUCCACAAAGAGGGAAAUUAAAGCAAAAAAUUCAAGAGAUCAUUUGUAGUAUGGAGGAAAUUAAGAGCAAAGAUUUUUUGCAACAAAGGGAGAGAAAAAUAUUUUAGAUGGCAUUCUUGCUAUUUAAUUAUGGAUAUUUUAGCUUGCAGGAAUUUUUUUUUUUCUUUUUCCAGCCUUUUGCUACUUAGAAGAUAGGAAAACGUUGGGGGCAUGAUUGUCAUUUCAAUGCUUCUAAUUGGGACUUUUAGUCACAUCAUAACUAACAGGGGGAGAUAUCUGAAUUUAACCCUCGAUUAUAAGUGAACCUUCAGCUUUCCAAAGGGCGUAGUCAGUUUGCGAGAGAUGGGUUUCAUGCACGACCCUUUGGCAUGCAUCAAGAACUCCUAGCUUAGAUCUAAAACAAAAGUGCCUUCUUCUUCACAAUACCAAAUUACCACUCAGUUUGGUUCCCGUUUUUCAUCUUUAACAGUGGCAGCUCUUUCCUUUUAACCUUCUAUUGUCUUUUUUUUUUUUUUUCCUUUUGGGGUAUCGUCAUCAUUCCCAAUCCAGACGCUUUUGUAGAAAUUAAUGAUAGAAUUACUUUCACGUGAGUUUGGACAAAAAGAAUCAUGCAUUAGUUUAAUGUUUAAAAUUGAAAUCCCACAUAUUGGGUCUUAAAUCCUACCCUUCUCUGCUAAAUAAAAUGAAGAAUCGUGGCUCUCUCGAUUAUCAAGCUUCAAGUUAUCAUUCAUCACUAAGAUUUCUUAUCUUUUUCUCUUCGUUUUGUUCAAUACCCUAAGAGAUCAUAAUUAGUUCAUAGUAGUACUUUUUUUUUUUUGUGUUCCUUUAAUUUUUGGAAUCAAUCCUUGGAACAGAAGCAGACUGGCAAUCGCGCCGCCCGUGCUAUGCAUGGAAAAUUUUGCAGCAGAGCAUUUGAAUCUCAGGCAAGAAAAGAAUUGAGAUUGCUAUAACUUAAUUCUACAGAUGCUGCAAAGAGAACGAUUAACAAAUGAUGCUAUAAUAAUGGGGGAUUGCAAAGGAAACAGCCUGCAGCGACUGUUUGUUUUACUAGUAAGAGGGUAGCUCCUGCAGGUUGGAUCUAAAUAGGAUUAUCAGUGGUUCCGUUUCGGAAUGUUUUUGUUUACUUGAGCAAAUUGUAGGCCUUUCCUUCAACCAUGUAAAUCACUGAAAACACAAUAUAAACUUCACAAUAUUUUAUAUAUGGACCCAGCACACUGUGCUAAAGGAAAAAGCGGUAAAGUACAUGAUCUGAACCUUGUAUAUAAAGUAAAUCUUAUGUAUAGAAUUCUGUUACGGCGGUGAAUUUUGUUAACUUUAACGAAUUCUGUUAGUUUAUAAUGUAGUUCAAAACAUGAGAUGUCGUUUUAUAUGUUUUGAAACCACGGAGGACUUUUCUGUGUAUUAGAUAUAUUACAGAGGGUUUUUUUGUUUCUUCCGAAAAAUGCUGCUGCUACGACCGUUUCUGUCCCUAAUUCAUCUAAAACAAAAGGAUCCUUUGAUUGUAAAUAGUUUAAGCACACGUCGUUUUUAAAGCGUGGUCGUACUCAUUUUAUAUUUGAAAUACAUAAUCUAAAGAAGCCUUUUAGUUCAUUUUUCUUUUGUCUUGGAUGAGAAAGCUGCACCACAUAUGCGUAAAAAUCGCACAAACAUCCCUCCUUUCUCUCAUAACGAGAAGUUACUCCGUAAUUAAAUGCCCUUGAUUUCGCUUCCUUCACCCAAUGAGAGUAUAGUGCUGCCUGCUGCGAUUGAUUAGCGGCAAGAUCAGUAGUCAAUAAUGGUAGCAUGCUCGAGUUUUUCCCCUCUUCCCCGGAAGAUGAAUCCUUUAGCAUAAUUAAUCAUCUGGAUGAUUUAGAACGUGCAAAAAAGCACCAUAAUAAAAUGAGCUUUUUGAGAGUUUUAUUAUAGAAAUAUAUAUUGUAGCAAUGUAAUGUAUGUGAAAUUAAAAAAAAAUGUGAUCGAAAAAUGUAUCAAGAGAAUUUUUUUUUUAUUAAAUUCUUUUAACAAGUGUCCCUGAUCACUCAAAAGUACAUUCAAAUUAUACCCAAUAAAUGGGUAGGGUCAUUAGCUUGUGAGGUUCGAGGUUCGACUCUCAAUCCCUCUCCUUUCCUCGUUCCCCUUCCAAAGGUUUGAAAUCUUGCUUCGAGCUAAAAAAAAUUAUGCGUAACUUACUAUGUAGAUACACACAUUUACAUUUAAUGCACCUCAUGUAUUUGGACAUUUUUCCAAAUUAAUUUCACUACUGUCAAAAAAUUAACACCUGAGACCCGAGUAGACUCUCUUGUAGUCCUGAGACACCUGUUAACCAAACCCUUGUUUAUUAAGCAAUACGGUUUUACAUGCGGAAUAUUAGUGUAUUAGAUGAUAACUUUGAAUGGUUGUAUUGCUUUUAGAAGCCUAAUCAUGGUACAAAUGGUAUAAGUUCUUAAAGAUCACGUUCUAACAUAUUUCAGCGAUGUACGUGCACUCUAAAGUGAUCUAGGAAGAUGGAGCUGCAUGGCCAAAAGGAAAAGCUAGAUGAGUAGUCUAUUUUUUUUUUUUUUUUUUUUUUGAGGUUUCAAGCAAAACCCGUUGUAUAAGGUUUCUGAGUAUUGCAAUAAUCAAUUGAAGUUUGAAAAAUUAGAGAAACCUCCCCAGACAAUAAGCUUUGGUAAUAGUUGAUGAUGUAAGCACAAAAAAAUCAACGAAUAUCCUAUAUUGCCUCUAUCUAAUUUUUAAAAUUUCACAGUAGUUAUUUGCUAGAAAAUUUGAUCCAUGUUUUAAAGACGCCGUCCAAACCAAACCGGAAAAUCGAAAAGCUGGGAAAUCCAGCGUACUAGGUACCUGACCCACAUGGAUAUCCUAUGGCCUAGGACGGGGGUAUCCUAUGGCCUAGGACGGUUACGAUUCGAUAUUUUGUUGAAUUGUUAGAACUAGGUUGGGUCACAAUAAUAUCAUUCCAUGGGUCUUGGUAACCGACCCAUGAACACCUCUUCUAUUAGCUGAUCAACUCUUUGUAAAAUUGAGCAAAAACUCGAUUCAGAGGAAUUGAAAAUUGAAUAUAAUGUACUAGAUCAUAUUACACUAUAACUUUUUGAUAAAAAGGUAUUAACGAGAAAAUGUUUCCUUUUUUAUCUUUAAAUUCAAUUUUUUUAUUUAGAAUUUGUAAAUUUUGUGAAAGCUAUUAUAGUAUUUUCAUAUAACACCAAAGAAGAUAAGUGUAAUUUUUUUCAAACUUUAAGGAAGGCGAACGCAAUUAUUAAAAACUUCAAAUUUAUCAUAAAUAACGUAAUUAUCCCUAUUAUCAUUUUGAAUCGGUAAAGAGAAUUGUAACAAAUUGUAAUUUAUCAUAAAUAACUCAUAAACUUGAGACAAUUUUUAGUAUUGCUCGUAAUCAAAUAAAUGUCAAUAUAUCAAUGAGUGUGUCUGGACAAGAGAUUAUUUAUUCAAAUAUAUUUAUUUACAUCAUCAUUACAAUUUUUAAUAUAUUUUUUUAUCUCACAUAUAUUACAAUACAAAAAGUGUUAUCUCAAAUAAUUUACUAUUCAAACACACUCAAAUGGACAAUUAAUCUGGACGUACAUUCUGAAGUCUUGAAUUUUUAACCAUACCACGACCUUCCAUCAUUUGAGACGGCCGUCAACUGUUGCAGCCUUGACUUACACGACGAGUUAUCACCAGUCACCACCAUACAAAAUCCGUGGAUAUGAGGUGCUGAUAUGCACAUUGUCCUGGCCAUAAUAGCCCUAGGUGAGAGGUGCGACUCAAGUGGCAAAAUUGUAGGCCCAUAUUUGAUUUUAUCAAAAGCUAGAGUAUCCUCAAUUCCCUCGAAUAGGGAUUUUGUGGGAUGGCCAUGAAUUGGCCAAAAAAAAAAAAAAUUUAAGAUUUAGAUCACAACUUGUGCAUUGAUUUUAAUAUCGUGUGUGUGUGUAAGAUUCACAAAAUUUUGUUCUAUAAUUACUAAUAGUUAAAAAUGAAUUAAAUCAUGAACAAAUAAAAUUACAUCUUGUAAAAUUGAAACAAAACUUGUCCAAACAAUUUGUCUGGCAACCAUUUGGACCCUUGGUCCUUAACUUCUUCAGGUGCUGAGGAGCAGAGUGAACUGUUCCUUCGCCCAUUACUGAAGAAUAUGGUGUGCUCGACAGAACAAGCUGCAUACGCCUAUUUUUGAAGGGUGCUUUUACUCAAAACCCUCUACAAAAAGAAAAGGAAAAAAAAUAGUGAUCAAAGUUAAUUUGAAAUUACAAUUUUUUUUUAAUAAAGAAGUGAUCACACCUAACUUGAGACAUCGAAGGUAAAUUUAAAGACUCUGACUCUCAUCCAGCUGCAGUCGAGCUAUCGAGGAACAUAACGGCUGAUCAAUCUUUGUUAUGGAACAUAACUGCUAAUACUACGUACAACUUUAGACCGAUCGAUAUCUCAAUCCCAAGUGCAAAUUGGUUGUGGCAAUGGAUAAUGGUCCAAAAGGGGAGCAUCACUCAGAGAAGUCCAUAUCGGUUAGAAGAAGAUACUCUCAAUAGCCAAUGCACCUCAAGUUGGAGCUCCCAUUGGCAUGAUCUGCAAAUCGACCCUCAAUUUGGAUAGUUGUGUGCAGCUCAAGGCAGGACCAUGUAAUAAUUAACUUCAAACUAUAGAGAAUGAAGACAAGUUAAAGCAAAGAUUUUCUCUUGACAGUGGUCGAAUGAAAAAGGUUCCCGUGUUUGUUUAUGCUCCUGCCGUUGAGUUAAUCAAGUUUAACAAAUUGAUCAGCGAGAAAUAUAUAUAUAUAUAUAUAUAUAUAUAUAUGAUGUUGCUGCCUAUUUUUUCUUCACAAAAUAUUUGAGGAAAAGAAACAUAUAUAAUCUGUAAUUUGAUGUUCUUUUAUGAUAGAGCCAGCGUUGCUAAUGGUUCAAAAGAAUGCUCAAUAGAUAGAGGAGUUGAGAAACAAUUACCAGUGCCCGAAUUGAAGUACAAAGAUCCAAAUGAAGUGUACAUUAUAAAUGUAUCGUUGUAUAUUUGUGUGUGUAAAGUCUACAUCCCAUACACUGCUGCAUGCAUCGCUGUGAAAGUAGCAAGAAAAUUUGGUCCCGCUACUCCUAUUUGGAGUUGAAUUUGAAUAAAACCGGGUCGUCGAUUGGAAGAUUAUUCUUCUGUUCUGUACCUUCGCUUUCAAUGGAACAACCUGGACUGAUAAUCGACAUUUUCUGCUUUAUGGGCUCUUAUUAUUAUUGUUAUUUUUUUAAUUUAAAGGGCUCUAUACAAAUGCAAGCUUGCAAGAAUAAUUGAUGUGCUUCUUGAAAGAAGACUCAAAAGAAGUCAUAAAUAGAGAGUGACGAGAUUCCUGCAGAAAUUGGGCUUUUGUUUCAAUUGUGUACAAAACAUCCUCGUAGCUUAUCUCAAAAGGCUAUGUGAAGUUUUAUAUGAUUAGAGUACCUAGUGAUUAAUUUCACAGUAUUACAUAGAAUGAGUCCCUGACACAAAAGAGAAUUCUCUUUUGUGAUGAAAAACCAGAUCAAGUUAAUGCUGCUAUUGCCAUAACGUCAAGUACUCAGGUGUAUAGUUCAAUUGCAUAGACUAUGCUAAUUGCUUGCUGGAGCCAAAUGUCGUGACACAUCAAAGGGUUAAGUAUACUCGUCCUGUUAAGUAAAUAUAGCUCCAUGGACGUUGCAUAAUUGGUAAAACCUCCAGAGUCAUGAUCAGAUGCAGUUAAUACAUAUGGUUUAGCCCUCAAACUUUAAAAAAAAAAAUAAAAAAUCACUGCCAACUUCGUUUUCCAGUUUGGGGCAAGGGAAGGAAGUAAUUGUUAUUAACGCAUGUGUUUGGAUUUUUCAUUCGAAGCCUUCAAGAUUAUAGACUCUUUUUCGUGCUUGAUAAGCUUAAAUCUUGGUAUUCUAAUUUAACACAAUUUCAAGCUAUUAAUGUUAUAAAUACAAUCUAGUGGAAGGCAUUAUCGAAAACAAAUUUGGGAAUUUUAGCUAAACACUUGCUUGGAAAUAUAGAUAAAUUAAAGUGCAGUUUGUCAACAUUGUGGUGGACAAUUUAGUCAAAUAUCAACAUUAAGUCACUAACACAAUAAAUGAGUCACCAUACAAAAUAGAAAUGUAUAAAAACACAACAAAUUUUGCUACUUGCCAAAAGUGGUGUCAACGGAAGGUUAAACACUCGGUAGGAAAUAGAUAAAUUAAGGGAUACUUUUAAAAACCUCUCUUAAGGUUUCUGACAAUUUCACUUGAUUCUUCUCGAGUUUAAAUAAUUACACUUAUGUUUCAUGGUAUAGUAAAGUACCUAGAAAACGUUCCAAUUUCUCUAUCUCAUGUCUAUUUCUACUCCUCUAUUUCCUAGUUAUUAUACUCUUAUUUGUUAUCUUUGAUUUUAUGGAUAUUAGUAAAUUGAAAUUGCAAAAUCAACAGAGGGAACAGAUCAUGUGUUAAGUACAUAUGCUAUAAAUUUCCCAAAAGAGAAACAUUAGGAGAUUCUAGAUUAUCCAUUCCUUUGUACCUCUAUACUCUACUCAUUUCAGGCGAGAUAAAGAAGCAAUACAAAUGUAGAUCAUUUUCAACAUAAGUUGACUCAAUUAAUAUAUAAGAAUGAAACAUAUUUUUACAAAAAUGAAAUAUUAUUGAAACUUAUAUGUGACCCUUGGAUGGAUAGGCAAUUUCCUACAAGUGACCUUUACUUCUGAAACAUAUGUCCUAACCGGUGAUGUUCGGAUCGCGAAGCACCUACCUUUUUCCUACCCAAAAAAUGUGGAUCAUGAUCGUGCAAAUUGGUGAAAAGACUUUUAGGUUUGUUGAUUAUGGUGAGAAAGUGUACGAAGAGGUAAUAAUGGCCAUCCAUGAUAGUGAUGCAGCGCGGUCUAUCUGUACGGACAUCUCAUCGUCCACAUAAUAUGAAAGAAAAAAAAAAAAAAAGAAAAGCCACACCCACCACAGGCGAGGCACAGCUCCCCGUCGUCAUUAUUUCUGUAUAAACAAAAAAAGAAAAAGAAAAAGAAAAUUGUAUUCUAGUUGAACAGGAAUAUUUCUUCAUUAAACUAAAACUCACGUUCUCCUUCAGAACCAAACUUAGGAUAUCCACAGAAAAAGAAAACAAAAGAAGACACACAUUCUCCAGUCUCUCUCUCUCUCGCACACACACACAAAUAGUCUACAUUUAGGCCGCUCAGAUUUUUUUCCUCUCCUCUUAGGUUUAGGCAAAUGUGGAAAACUGAGGAUAAAAGAAGCGAUUGGUUUUGCUAUAAAAGGGAAAGUGGACUUUCCUUUCUUGACAUGGGGCUUCUGUUCCCAAUUCUUCCCUCCCUCUCUCUAAUUGGUGGCUUCUUUUGAUAUUUUCGAUUCCAUAUAGGAUAUAUUUUUUUCUUGUUUGGAAGCUGGUGUUGUGUGUGAGGAGUUGAGCUCAACAGUGGUGUUAAGCUAAGAGUACAACUGUUUCUUACUCAGCGCACGAAACAAAGAACAUCUCCUGCAGCUCCUCACCCUCUCACUCCAGUACCCAAUAAGGUAAACAGUACCGAUCCCCCCAACCCCCUCAAUAUCCUUGCACACCCCAUCUCCCACUCCCCAGCUUGCAUGUUAAUGAACAUCAAUUGGUGGGCUUUUCUGGGUUUUUUCGCUCAGAUCUGUACUUGUAUUCUUUCUUUAGGGUUGCUUUUUGCUCACUUAAUCCUCCUCCUGAUUUCCUUGGAAAAAAAUUGCACCUGCCGGCGACCACACCGACCUUUUUGCGCCUCUUUCCUGUGCCCGUUUCUAUUUAAUACUCUCUUUUCCCAUUGCUGCAUAAAAUUAUUUGCCAAACCCACUGCUCGUGGUACCACACUACUAUUGCAACAUCUUUGAUGUUCUUUUCCCUCUGGGUGUAAUUAUCAAGGCGAUCGAAAAGAAAAAAUGGCGAGAGAGAAGAUCAAAAUCAAGAAAAUCGAUAACAUCACGGCGAGGCAGGUGACCUUCUCCAAGAGGAGACGAGGGCUUUUCAAGAAAGCUGAAGAGCUUGCUGUUUUGUGCGAUGCUGAUGUUGCCCUCAUAAUCUUCUCAGCCACUGGCAAGCUCUUCGAGUUCGCUAGCUCAAGGUAAAUCUAACCCUACCCUAUAUAUAAUCAUAUGGUAUACUAGUAACUUUUUAAUGCAAAGAUGAGAGCUGGGGUGGCUUCAUUAUCAUGUUCAUAUAUAUACACACACACACACACAAACAGAGACAGUAUUAGAUGUGUCUCAUUCUCCAUCUCUCUACCCUCUUUCCUUCCGUCUCUCUUUCUAGAUAUAGGCAGGGUCUGAGAAGAUGAUGUCAGCAACAUUUUGUUGGGAAGAUCGGCUCUUCUUAAUUCAGGUGACUAGACGAUAGGGAAUCAAGACUGUGACCACUGACAUGAGAAGUGUUUAGCUCAGCUCCAAAUAUAUUUUGACCCAAAACCAAACAACAGAAAGUAAUUUACAAUAAAGUUCUGGUCUCCUUCGUUACCCCUUACCCGUACUCCUUUUAUCUUAAGUUUAAAUAUUUACCGAUAGUAGUAACAUUUAAGAAUUGCUAAAAUUAGAAACCCUAGUAAAGAUUCUUUUCAAUCUUCAAAGUUUUCUUUACUUUACUUGAACCCCACAACUUCUUUUUUUUGGCUUCUUUUUACUCAGUUUCUUAUCGACCCAGCUCUCGGUUUUCCGUUCAGUAAGUUAUACUCCUCCUAACUUACUUGAUCACAGUAAAUAGGUCUCACUUGUUCAAUGGAUUUCACAUUUUCUUUCCAGAAUGUCUCUCCGAUUUUAAAGGGUACUAGACUAUUUCAUCACACUAGUAAAUCGCUCUCACUUGGGUUCGCAGUUUCUUUCCAAAAUUUUCACCAGCUCCCACGUUCAGAAGUAGCUUAAUUAUUAUUUGAUCAUAGCAGGAAACUCUUCUCCAUCUUGUAUAUCAAUCUGAAACGGUACAAUUCCAUGGACCAUUCUUUUUGAUUGACUUGCUAGAAAGGAGCAUUUGAGCUGCACAAUUCCAUUAGUCUCUUCACGAAAUGGAUGGCCGAAUCUCAAAAUGUUCAGUUUAAUUUUCUCCAGGAUGUUUACUUGCAUCAGAAAUUAAGCGGUGUAGAUUUCAUGUUUUCAAAUUCUUGAUUUUUAAUUUCACUCAUAGCAUUAGCGUUUGAGAGAUGCUAAAGGGAAGAAUAUGGAGUAGUGAAACUUCCUUUUCAUGCAAUUAGAAGCUGCUAAGUUAUGAUCAUAGAAUAACGAUUAAUUUGAAAGUCUAUCUUAACUGAGUUAACUGGUUCCUAAUUAAUGGUUCUAAAAUAAAGAAACGAACCAGUCAUUAAGAUCACCAACUGGUUUAAUUGGUUCGUAAUUAAUGGUCAUAAAAUAAAGAAACGAAGCAGUCAUUUGAGAUCACCGGUCAAAUCAAUCUUAUCAUUUUCUUCACCGAUUAACCUGCCAAAACUUUGUAUUAAUUGGAUGAUACCAAAUAAAUCUAAAAAUCGAUUAUACACUUUUGUAAGUGUAAACUAUAUACACUGCGCGAUCUUUAGUUGCACGGUGUAUGUUAUUCGUUGGGACAAUAAAACAGUAAAAAUGAAAACCUUUUUGUAAAAGAAAAACUUCAUAUUAAGAUACUUAAAAUUCUGCCUGGUAAUAUAGAUGCCAACGGUUGUCUUACUUCUUUUAAACAUCUAAUAUACUGUGGCAUGAUCUUGUGUUUAGCUCACUCCGAAGGAUGUCAGAACAAAUCAUUGUAGCUAGAUUUCAGCAAUGAAAGUGUUUUCCUGUCAUGUUUCAGUGGCUGCAUGUGAACUAUCUUUUAAGGUGUAGCUAUUAGAAAUUAAUGUUUGCUCACAAAAUCAUCUUUCAUCCUCAUGUGCAGCCACUGAUUAACUUAGCAUCAUUUUGGUUCAACUUCCUAUAUAGUACCUUGUCUUGCAGCUUAUUCAAAAGUUGCUUGCAUUAAAAAAAUUCGCUUGCCAUAUCGCUAAAAUAUGUCUCAGUUGGUAGUUUCGUUGGAUCAUUGCAUAAAAUGGCUCCACGCUAACAGACAACCACAAGAAAAUACUAAAAAUGGUCACUUGGACCAAAUUCUGUCUAGUUUCUAGGAGCCUGUAUCCAGUCCACUUUGGAUUCUUUCUUACAUGAGUUCCCUUUUUUGUGGUUUGUCUACUAUCUAAAUUCAAACGCAUAUUUUGCAAUACCUGGAUAAGGCAUGCAUAUGUCUGUUUUGUGGGGUCUAACCAGUAGAUUCGUGAUAAAGAGGUAAGAGAAAUUCCAUUGUAUUUCCCUAGUCUCUGAUAUGAUAUCAAAACUUCACUCAGGUGUGCCUCUUGUCAGUUUUUGUACUUGCUUCGGUCAUAUGUGUAAGUUCUGGAUACAGGAAGGAAUUUCUGUAAGAUUAAUAGUAUUCGUAAAAAGAUUUCUAGUCUAGGUCUGAUAAUGGGCGAGUCAUGGCUUCUAGGUUUGAGUAUACUUGACCGCAUUUUUGUGUACUCUUCUGGCCUUUCCUUAAAAAGAUUUCACAUAUGCUUGUGCACAAGGCUGGAAAUCACCAUUUGAAUUUCUCUUCUCUCCUUUAUGCUUUAAUCAGUGGUAGGAUUUAUUUUUGGUUGGGCUGAUAACUCAAUGGUUGACUGCAUAGUCCAUGAUAUGACAGGUUUUGCAAUUAGACUUGAGAUGGCAAAAAAUAAAAACUCAAACAAGCAUUUUUACUAGCCAAAGAUAAAAAGAUUAAAUUCACUUUGAAGAAAUAUAACUCAAGGUCACCUACUUUUAAUUAGCUAAUGUAAUUAUAUUGUAACCUAUCAAUGACAAGGUGAAUUUUCUGUACUUGUAAUUUUGUUUUUCUUUAAACAGAUCUUUACAUGUAUUUCAUUUUAUAUCAUACUUCUGAUAAUGUUUAUCUCUCGGUGUAAUGAACAUGUUUUGUGUUUCUUUCUGACAAAACUGAAAAAAGAAAGAAAAAUUACAGUUGGAAAUGAUUGCAUGUUGUAGAAUGGAUGAAAGAGAUCUACAGUCAACUAAAUGUUAGGAAGAGGAAUGUGCUAUGGAACACUUGCAUGGUUGAUGUCAUAAAACUACCGGUUCAAGUAAUGAUAACAUAACUUUCCUUCUAUUUGCACUGAUUUUUUUUUAACCAUAAAUUUCUAAUCAUAAAUGCCUCAGCAGCAUGUUGCAUCCCCGAGGCUUGCAUUUUUUGGGAUCCUUGAGCUUCUUGCUUAAAUACUUCUUACUCUAUAUUAGUCUCUCCAGAUCUUGAAUGGACCUGUGAAUUUGGUGGAAUGGUUUAGGUUGUAGCUUGUAUUUGCUUAAUACAUACUUAUAUAUUAGACAUCCCAGUCCAGAGGUUUGAAGCUUCGACUUUCUUUGAAAAGGCGUUGGAUCAUGGUGAACAGCUAACUACGCUAUCGAUUACGUAAAUGUUUUGAGUUUGAAUAUCUUUCCAAUCUCAUAGAAUCUCUCUUCUACUCAAUUAAUUGAGAAAUAUUGUAAAAGGUGUCUCACACGUUCUCGUGAGGCAAAUCGAGUCUUUUGAUUUACUUUAAUGCUAAUGGCCAACCUUUGCAAAUAACUGAUAGUUGUGCUGACUUUCUAUUCAUUGUCAUGCUUGUUAUAUGAUAACUAUGGCUUUGUGAUAUGUAGGGCACUGUAUUUUUGUCCUGUCAUCAUGAAUUAUAAACUAACAGGUCAACUAAGUAACUGUUUUGAUAAAAUUGAAAUCUGAAUUGUGAAAAUUAAAUAUUGACCCCUUUUGACAAGUGAGUUUUUUGAAUAUUUGUCUAAAACUUUACUAUAAUUUACUGUAAAAGUUUUUUAAAAAAUUUUGAAAGUGUGUAAAUUUUGAAUAUUUUAAAGUGUAUAGUUUAAAAUUUUUGAAAUUUUUUUUGAAAUUUGUAGUUAAACUUGGGAAAAAGUUGCCUGCCAAACAAGGCCAUUAAAAGUAUUGAGUUGCUAAAUUAUUUAAGUUGUAUCGUUUGAUAAUUAACUUUAUAAAACUGAAUUCAAAUAUCACAAAUAUUUUUUGACAAUUUUAAAAAUUGCCCUUAUUUGUAUAUUUGGAAAAAAAGAAAAAUGUGCGUAUGUGUGUGAGAGAAAAAAUAAUGAAGUAAUUUAGAGGUGGUAUUUAAGUAUGUGCAUUUGCAUGUAAGAGGUGUGUCUGCAUGCUUGUGUAUCUGUGUGUGUUGAAUAUAAAGGAAAUAAAUGUGUACCAAGUGCUAGAAUACUAUGAGUGUGUUAUGUGUGUGAGUGGCAUAGUAUGUGUAGUCAAUUCAGAAGAUUUAGUGAAAUUUUGUUACUUAAAAUUUUAUACCCAAAUUAAGGUGUGCUUAAUAAAUUAAGUGGUAAGGUAUUUCUGUUAUCAAACAUGCUGAAUUCAAAACUCUGAAUGAAUUAAUUUUCAACAUUAAGUGGAAUUAUCAAACAGACUAAUAGAACUUAAAACUGAACAGAUUAUUGCAUUUUUAUAUUCUAGGGAAUCUAUUUUAAAUAUUGUAUAGUAAAAACUAUAAAAUUAGGAUUUAGAAAUUAGAGGUCCUAGGUUCAAAUCCUAUCGAAUUGUCAAUCUCUCCUGAUUUUAAGUUAGUAUAUGUCCUACUAAAUGUGAGGAUUAGUUGUAAUAUCAUGUAUUGGCUCCAAAGUCGUGAGUUACAUGUAAUUUUAUUAAAAACAAAUGCUCUUUUCCUUUUCAUCAAUCAAAUAUAACUUGAGAUAAUAAGCAUAGCAAUUUGUUAAUCACAGUUGUAAUCUAUAGCAGAAACUUGAGGUGUUUUCAAAAAUAGAGGUAAUGUUAUCUUCAAUCAAAUUCUUUUGUAAAUAUCUAAUGCCUAUAUUACUUUUGGUGUAAUAAGUUGUGUACUAAAAUAGGAUUUUGGAAAAUGAAUUAUAAUAUGUUAACUCAAAGUAAAUUUACUUCACUUUCCUUCAUAUGUAAAAGUAAAGGAACUCUUAUUAAAAUAAAAAUGUCAAAUGCUCUCCAUAACAAAAAUUGUCUUUUAGCUGUUUGUAUUUUCUACUUUUACUUGGGCUUUAAAAUUUGUGGUGGAUGAGUUUAGUAUGGGAACAUGGUAUCAUCUGACCAUGAGUGGCUCUUUUCACGAUCCUUACCUUUUAAAUGCUUUACAGAGAAGGAUUUUAUUUUUAUUUCUCUUUUUUUGUGGUAAUGUUUCUUCAAAGUAGCGUCGGUUGAAGUUCUCUGACAUAUUGUGAUGAGAGAACAUCACAAGUAACUCAAGUCUCCUGCAUUUUUGUGCAGCAUGAGUGAUAUCCUUGGAAAGUACAAGUUACAUUCAAGUAACCUCGAGAAGAUUGAGCAACCAUCGCUUGAGCUUCAGGUAUUACAACAUGGCGUUGCAUCUGUGUUAUCUUUCUUCUAGAGAUCCAGUCAACAUCACGGGCUUUAUCUUGUUAACGCUUUUCAUGGUUUCCUCUAUACUCUUGGCUGUACUGAUCUCAUUACCAACAUUGCCCAACUGAUGAUUGGCAAAACUGUUGUUUCAUCCUUGAAUACAUUGGAAUAUGUCUCAUUUGUUCUGACCUUGCAUUUCAUCUAAAGAUUUCGAGAAGGAUAUUACCAAGUGCAUUGGAAAUUUUGAAUAAUAAGUGGUCCUGUUUUCGGUAUGUAGAGGAAUAUUUUACGAUUUCUCUUUGGUUGUAAAGUGACUAGGUGAACUUUGUUUCGUCUAGGGUGCUCGCGAAAUGACAAGAUGAAAUUUGACUAAAUAUUUUUGAGUCGAAAAUAUCGACUCUCUUUAAUACCUACUUUUAAGAUUCUUUUUAACAAGCUUGUUGAUUUUGAUAUGCUGUGAAUGGGUGCUGCUUUCUUCAAUCGAUGCAUUAUUCGGUUUUACUUUGCCACACGAUUACAUUAAACAAAGUCUAAUCUGAUUUGGAUGUUUCAUUGCACUACGAGAUUAGCUUAUGCUCAAUUGGGACAAAUGAAAAUGUACUAAACUUAAAUUGUUGUAAAGCAAGAUGAACCAUUGGGGCUGUCGGUGAAAUGUUGAAGAUGACUGAUGUGUAUUGUCCCUAAUGAAGUUUCUUCCUUUAGCCUCCUUCCCUUCUCUACGCUAGGAUUUGUUAGUACUCAGCCUUAUGCAUGCAUCUGCUGAUUAGGGUCAAGCAAAUUUAUCAUCAUUCCAUACUCCUCUUCUUUCUCUCCCUCCGUCUGUUUUUCUCAUGGCUAGCUUUUCUCCUCAUAUAUGUCUGUUAAAUGUAUUUUGCUACUUUACGCCAAAACCAAAGUAAGCCAUUCAUCUUUUUCUAGUUGUUCCAAGAAGUGCAAGUGCAAGUUUCAUCGAGUAUUUCCAUUAAUUGCUGUGUAUGCAUAGUGAUCCUAAUUUUUCUUGCUCAUUUUAGCUAGAGAAUAGUUGCCAUGUUAGAUUGAGCAAGGAAGUUGCUGACAGGACUCAUCAGCUAAGGUACAAAAUAGAAACAGAAAAUAAAUACUGUUUUCCAUAAUGGAUUUUUAGUUUUAUUUGAAUCUUAGCAAGAUGAAAUCAUUUGAUCCUGUGGAUCAGGCAAAUGAAGGGUGAGGACCUUCAAGGGUUAAAGAUAGAGGAGCUGCAGCAGUUAGAAAAAGUGCUGGAAGCAGGACUAACCCGUGUGCUUCAAACGAAGGUUCCCAGUUCACUUUCACUAGCUUUCAUCUAAAAUUUAGGAGGGUCGCAAAUUUACUAACCUAACUUCUUCAUGUUAUCUUAAUUCUAGGGUGAACGCAUCAUGAAUGAGAUCAAUGCCCUUCAAAAGAAGGUUAGAGUUGCAGACACAAACUUUUUCCUAUUAAUGCAUUUCAGUAAUUCUUUCUUUUGACAACUCUGGUCAGUAGUAAUAGGCCUCUAUAGUCAACAUUUAUAAGCAUCAGUUCCUAUACUAAGCUUAUAAGUCGCCUUUUAUCUUCUGGCAGGGUGCAGAACUGUUUGAAGAAAAUAAGCAACUGAAGCAAAAAGUACGAUCUUCUACUUAAGUAUAAAUAAGUUUUCGCUGACAGGUUAUAUUAACAUUGUAGCUGAAACUUUUGGCCACACAGAUGGCAAUGCUUUAUGAAGGGAAGAGGCCAGUGAUUCCAGACUUGGAUAAAGAUAUGCUGAUAGAAGAAGGCCAAUCUUCAGAGUCCAUUACCAAUGUUUGCAGCUGCAACAGUGGCCCUCCUCCGGAGGAUGACUGCUCAGAUACAUCACUCAAACUAGGGUAAGUGUCUUUGUACUGCCGGUGCUUCCAUGCUUGUCAGUGGACUAAUCUCUAACUUCCUCCAUAAACACAUCUACUGUUUUAUAAACAAUUGCAAGUUUAGCCCUGGUUAUUGAGAAUUGAACAAUUCGCCAAUCUGCCUCUUAAAUGCGCUGGUGAGGUUAAUUCUCUGUGCUUGAGACAAUUCUAAAGUUGGAUAGCUUUGUACAGUGAGGAUUAACUUCAUCUUUGCUAGUGAUGAAUGUUUCUAGAGGAAUGUUUAGCUAAAGUACUUCUUGAGACGUGCAAUUUAACUGCAAAUUUUCUAGCACUAGAAUAAAUGAAAGUAAUAGUUGAAUAAGUCUAGAAAUUCGAAGUAGUUUCAAAUUUAUUGUCUUUUUGACUAGCUCAAGUAUGUUGAGGUUUGUUAGGAAAAGAUUCAUGUAGAAUUGUUUCUUGCACUCUUUCUCUCUGUCAAAAGAGAGCUGUUUAAUGAGAAAUCUGAGGUGUUUUUCAGCCUUCAAUACCAAGUCUUGAUAUCCAUUUUUAUGCUCUAUUUUCCAACAGUACUCUACAGACCAAUACCUUCUGAGGUUCUUCGUGAGAUCUUUCUCUGACUAUAGUAUAUUCACCUAUAUACAUUGGCAUUAUCCUGAGUACUUUCUCCACGUUCUUGUUACCGUUCUCUAUUACUUGUAAUACACUCUUUUUUUUCCCUUUCAGGCUACCCUUUAACUAGCCGACGGUGGACAGCUUAUGGGGACCUACCUUUAAAAAUUACUAGUAACAUGGGAUCAAGAAAUGGAGCUCUCUCCAUCUAUAUGUCUAUAUGUUAUCCAAGAUAGUGGUAAAAGUCUAUGGUAGUAUUACUCCUGUCAUAAAAUUAAGAGUCUGCUGUGUAUGGCUGGCUCGAUUGCCUCCAAAGUCCUAAGGUGCAGUAAAAAAGCUCGUGUUGCUUGCACCUGCUUCAACCAGAACUCAAGAUUUGUACUCUCUUGUAUGAACUUGCUUCCGGGCUUCAGCUGAAAAGUUAAUCCUAAUAAUAUGAAAUACUACUGGUUGAACUAUUUAUCUAGAGAUGGCAUGAAACAACUACUAUAGUGAAAGGUAUAUUUCCUAGCUUGCCCGGAUUCCACCGAACAAGUAAUUACGCUAGUCUUUUAAAGACUUUGUUUGUCGAUUACCAAGUACAAGCGAGGAUGAAGAAAUGAAACUCGAAAUUAUAUGAGAUGGUUUUGGGCACGAAUAUCUAGAAAUAAGGAUUUCUAUUCGGUUCAAAUUGAUUGAUAUAUUCUUUUCUACUUUUAGUAUAAUUUCAAAACUUUUAAUUCAUAUAACAAAAUUGGUGUAAAAUUUACGAUUAUACAAAAACUCUACGAGUUUGUAGCAAAGGUAACAAGAAUUAUACGAAUCAAUGUAGGUUGGAUAUGACUUUAACUUGUAAGACACUUGGAUCCUAAAUAUCCACCUCAUUGGAUAUGACCAGAAGACGAAUGAAAUUCAAAGCGCUCAAAAUGGUCAAAAUUCCAUAAGCCAAGAGAACUAUAAAUGCAAAAAAUUAUCUAUUAAUAUACUUGUUCCAUAAAGUAUGAAUUAUGUGUUUUUGGACUGCCAAUCAUUGUUAGUAUAAUAUAGAACGGGUAUAAUAUAAACUAUAAUAGUACAUAUUUAUAUUAUACAGAUUUUUCUUCAAAUGUAUGAUUAGAAGUUUGGCACAAAAACACGAGUUCAGCAAAAACUCAGACAUGAAUAGUACGAAUAUAUUUGAAAUUUAUGAAGCUAAAAUAAUUUGUUUGGAUAGAGCAUUAUUCCAAAUAAUUAUUUGCAAUAAUUACUGCAACACUUUUUGUGAUGUGAUGUAUGUGAGAUAAAAAUGUGGUUGAGAAUAUAAAAAAGUAAAUUGAAAAAUGUGUUUGUAAUACAAGCGAAAUUUUUUUUUGGAAAAAUUUGCUAUAUAAACAUAUAAUUUUUAAAUAUUAUGGUACAUAUACCACUUUUUAACUCUUACUCUUGUAUAUUAGCCACUGAAUUUAUUAAGAUUUUACCACCCCAUCAUGUGUGCGUGUAUAAAUAUAUAGAAAAUAAUGACGUACAUAGAUGUCAUUCUACAUAUAACAUAACUGAGUAAUAAUGAUAUACACAAAUUUAAAACUUUUCCAAAUAUUUGAAGUAUAAUAUGCCAAAAGUUUAUUACGUGUUUUGUGAGGUUAUAUGAAAAGUAUAACUAUUUCUAAGCCAUACAAAUUUUUUUUUCUGAAUUAUACGUACUAACGUAUAGUAUAUCAACAGUAUCAGUACUCACUAGGAACAUGAAGAUGUCGAAAUUUGCUGUGGAAAUCAAGCGUCACAAUAAUCACUUUUGGGUCCACAUGGAAUUACUCCUUACUAUAGGGGCUAAAGCAAUACUAAGGAAACUUUUUGGGGGUUACAAAUGGCAAUGUCCCAUGUUAUGUCAGUCUUUACCAUAAAUAGGCAGAGCUUUUCCCACCCAACUACAAGACGACGCUACCAUUCUGCUUUACUUUUGUAUCAGUCUUUGGGGAGUGGGAAUCCAGUGGGCCGGUGUUACCUUUUCAGGAAUCUCUUGAUGCUAGGGAUGACAACGAGGAUUUUUAGGGGGGAUCCCUCCCCGUCCCCAACCCGUUGCCAAAAACUCCCCCUCCUCCCGUUUUCAUUCCCCCACCCUCUGCCUUGCCUCGCUUUUCCUGCGAAUGUCCACGGAUGAUAAUUUGGUUUUUUUUUUUCUAACAGCUUGUAUUCAAUAGAUCAAAACUAAAUUCAAAGAAUAAAAUAAAAUAUGAAACUGAAAAAAGUGAAAAAUUAAAAGUGAAACAAAAAAAGUGUUGAAAUAAAACACCAAGAAAAUUAAAAACUCAAUUGGAUUGUAUAGAUAACAUUUGGGAAUACUUAUAGAAUACGUAAUAUGUUUGUGCUAAAUAUCAAUUAGGAAUUUGGAUAGAAAUGAAAUAAAGAUUAUAUUUAGUUGUCAAAUAUUUUAAAUUUAUUAUUAUUAGAUUAUAUAAUAUAAUAUAUUUAUUUAUAUUAAUAAAUUGAAACGGAGAACGGGGCGGGAGUUGAUCCCCGUCCCUCACCCCAUUUAAAAUGGGAGAGAAAAAUUUUCUCUCGUUCACGCCCCAUUACUCCCCUGCAGGGGCAUUUGCCCUGUUGUCAUCCCUAAUGCUAACCUUAUAAAAGUGAUGAGGUUGGGGUUUGGGCCAUUGCCUUGCUAAAGGACGUCCAAACUCUCUUGGUCUGGGCCCUUGUUAUAAGGCCUGUAAAACAUGGUCGACUCCACAACAUUCGGAAUCUUGAAUUUUUUUGUUAACUUUGUCAUGGUUCAAUCGAAACUCUAAAUCUUAAAAAUUAAAAUGUAAAGUGGGAAGAUCUGAGAGUUAAACUAAUAAUUUCAUGGUCAACUAGCUAAUACUAUCACUAUCAACUUUUUUUUUCAUUUUUUUUAGCAGGAGAGAAGCGGGAAGGGGACAGAGAUUUGAAUCUAGAAUCUCGAUCCUUAGCCACUAGACCAAAAUCUCAUCGAUAACGUCACAACCAGUCUUUUUUUUUUUUUAUUACUACAUAAAACAAACAGAUGAGGGAAUGAUGUUUCAAAAGUCACAUGUCAGAAAAUUUUGAGAAUGCAAUCUAGUUCAGGAAUUUGAUUGUGAUUGGUAUUGGUUGCAAAAUAGGGGGCUUUUUUUUUGAGGGAUAAAAAAUUAGGGGGCAAAAUUUGGGCCAAUAAGAUGAGGAUUGGAGCCCAAAUCAUUAGAAGGGCCGAAGGUGAGUUAUAAUUUAUAUAGAUAGAGGAGGUCCUAUAGUUGGGCUUUGCAAAACCGAUUGACAGAGGAAAUAGCUACCAUCAUCGUCCUAAGACAAGAGGGGUGUUGCCAAACGUGAGAUUUGUCAUCGAAGAAGAAGCCAGGAUCGUGAAGAGAUCCAUUGAAAUCAACUCGAAGAUGAAGAACUCAAGUUAGAGGUUAACAUAGCAUAGAAUUUAAUACUAAGAUGAACAACAGAAAUCAGCAGCAAUUGCAAUCUCAAACUCGAAGAUGGGCUUUGGGAGGAGCGUUUGUGCUGCUACUACCGAAUUUGUUUCCCGGCCUCCUCACUCCGCUGGGCCGUGCUUAUCCCUCCCUCUUCUCUGUAAUGUCCCUGUCUUUUUCUUUCUUUUGUGGUCAUUUUUUAUUGCAUUUGGAAGCUUUUUUUUUUCCUUGAAUUUGAUCUCCUGAAGAGUUAGUUGUACGAUGGUUUUUUUUUUUCCUUUUAGUUUCUGGGAUUGUUGAAGUUUGGAUUUUGUUUGGCGGGGGUUUUUCCUUUCAUAAUUUGCUGAUAUAGUCGAGAUAAGUGCAUUUUUCUGUUGUUUGGACUAGUUGUAAUUUUUCGUUUGGAGAGUUUUCUUGGGGAUGCCAGGAAAUUGAGAAGACUGUAGUUUGGUGGUUUAUAUUAUGAUGAACUGAGUUUAUACAGCCCUGCUGUCUGGAUAAAUUUGAUUGCUACUUUUCCCUCUGAGCCUAAUGCAGAUUUUAUUUCGUUUAGCUAUAAAUCAUACGAUGAUUGGCUAUUUGACGAGCUUAAGAGCUUGGAAUGCUCAAACUUUUGUUGCAACUUUCUACUUGCAAAUCAGAGCAACUACUCUUUGCAUUGAUGUUUUAUGUCACACAGAGGUAUCUUUGCAAUUUUAGGAAUGGAAUGCUCCGAGACCUAUGCAUUUGGAAUUGAUGAAUGGGGCUUUACAACAACAAACAGUGAGUAGGUGCUAAGUUUAUAGCUUUGGUCCAGAAAUGAUCUUGGAACUUGGAAUUAGUAGUUCUUUUGAUCUGUUUUAUCGUUCAACUUUCAGUCUGGUGAACAAGAAUCAGAACUCUGGUCUCCUUGCCCGACCAAGGAUGGAAACGUUGUGCUGACUCACAUGCUAAAUCUUGUGAGUCCUUUCAGUUUGCUAAUUGUUCCUUGUACCUUGUUGAUGUUUCGCCAAUUUGGCUCAUAAACUUUCUUGGAGAAAUGUGGCCCAGUUUCUUUGUCUUCUGAUGGUCCAAUACAAAACUGUAUUUGCUUUUGUAGCUUUGCCCAAAAAGUCCCAGGGCUACAUUCAAGUGUUUCUUGAUGGAGGACUGAAUCAGCAGCGAAUGGGGGUAAGGUGGCUUCAGUUGUAGCUUCUGUUGUGUAUGAUAUCUUGAGUUAUCUGUGAAUUGCUUAAAAGAAUUCUAUAAUGAUAUCAAUAUGUAAUGUCUUUUAAUACUUACUUAAUUUCCCAUUUGUCCCUUUUGAAGAUUUGUGAUGCCGUAGCUGUUGCUAAAAUUUUAAAUGCUACACUUGUGCUUCCACACUUUGAAGUGAAUCCUGUUUGGCAAGAUUCAAGGUACUGUAUGCUCAAGAUUAUGCGUAUUGGUUCCUAAACAUAAACAGACACUUCUGACCUGAAAUCUCAUUUUCUGAAGUUCAUUUACAGAUUUUUGAUGCUGACCACUUUAUUGAUGCCCUGAAAAAUGAAGUCUCUGUAGUUAAAGAUCUGCCAAGUCAAUAUUCUUGGAGUACACGAGAGUAUUAUGCACGGCAUAAGAGCCACUAGAAUCAAAACAGCACCUAUGCAUGCACCUGCCACUUGGUAUCUGGAAAAUGUUUUGCCUGUAAUGCAGAGGUUUGUGGAAAUUAGAGCCCUGCAUGCUUGGUGUUAUUAGAGUGGUGGCCAAGACGUCACAUUUAAGGCUGGUUAAAUGCUUAUGCUUAUCUCUGUUGUGGAAUAUAUGUCACUACUGUUUCUUUUUUUCUUUUAACAAUUGCUGUACAAUCCUAUUACCAUUUAAUUCAAAACACUAGGUAUCUGCUAAAAAGAAUCGUUGUUUACAAGAUUGAUUGACUCAAAACCAUUUCAAAGGAAAGAACCAGUAUCCCAAUUCUUAGCAAGGCUUCUUUUUAAGGCAUCAUUUACUCAUGGAAAUCCUGGAUCAUUAAACUCUGUUCACCUGAUGUGGAUGCUGAAUUGAAGAUAAUAACUUAAAUUCUGUUCUCAGUUCUGAUGACUUCUGGGCUUCUAUUUCUUUGAAUUGACUUCAAUAAGGAAAACAUGAUGGUUGUUUGGGGAUUUUCCAAUAAUUUAGAUCAGGUGAAUCGAAAGCUGUUGAUGUUGCUGUUUUUGGUCCUUGUUAUAUGGUUCCAAUGAAAAUUAGUGCUUCCUCAUCCACGUAAUUUAUGUCAAUGUUAUAGGAGCAUAAAUAUUGUUUAUAGACUGAAUCAUAAAGAUCCCAAUCUUUCACUUCUAAGGUUUCACCUAUGAGGCGUGUUCUUUCUAUCAUCAUGUCAUUGGAUAUUGUUCUAGAAAAUAUCUACGCCAUCUGGAAGUAAAUUUGGCAAUCAUAGAUGGAUCUAGGGAGGGUGGGGCCCCACAGUUUCCUAGAAAAGAACAAUUUCUUUCUCUUUAGAAAUGGAAAAUUUUCAAAAUGUGUCCUAUAGAAGUUUAAGAUUUUCCUGUCAACAUAUAUUUUCUGCAUCCAGCUAUGCUGGUACUUGCUCUUCUUCACAACAUGUCCAGUUAGAGUAGCCUUCCUUGAUUAAAUUUUCCUACAAAAUUAUUGGUUUGAUUCGUCCCUUGAUUGCUUGUUUAGUUACGGGAUUGCAGCUAUUGCCCCAUUUUCUCACCGAUUGGCCUUCGACAACCUGCCUUCUGAGAUCCAGCAGCUUCGCUGUAAGGUUAAUUUUGAGGCUUUGGUUUUUGUUCCCCAUAUCCGGAUGUUAGCAGAGACCCUCAUCAAUCGCCUGCGGUAUGCACCUAGUGGUGACAGGGCAGUAGGCGUCUCUAACUGGCAGGAAAGAUUAGAUGAUAAGCGAAGAGCUGGAAAGUAUGUUGUGUUACACCUGCGGUUUGACAAAGUAUGAACCUUUCUGCUUUAAGCCUCUGAUAAAGAAAUGAGAGAAUGCAUUGCAUGUUCAUGUGCAUAUGGCGUUUUUGGGGGGGGGUUGGGGGAGAGGUGUAUAGCUAAGAUAAGCUCAGUCGUUGGUUUAGCAUUGUUGUGGCUUACCAACUAUAAGUAAAUAGAUUACAUUGUCUUGUGUUGUAAUAGUUCCACAUAUGAAAUCUGCUACUGAGAAGUUUUUCCAGAUAGUUCCAUGGUGCAAUUCUCCAUUGAUUACCUUCUCAGCAACUAUUAUCUAAAACACAUUUCGUUGAAGUUUGAAUGCCACAUGGCUAGGCUGGAUUUUAGAAUUGAGGUACAUUUGUGUCCUAUUGCUCAUCAUGUCGGUAUCUGUUGUGGACAGGAUAUGGCUGCUCACUCGGCUUGUGACUUUGGUGGGGGUAAAGCUGAGAAAUUGGCACUUGGAAAAUACCGGCAGGUGCUUUGGCAGGGAAGGGUACUCAAUUCUCAGUUCACUGAUGAAGAACUACGAAUUCAAGGGCGUUGCCCUCUGACUCCGGAAGAAAUUGGGCUUCUGCUGGCUGCUCUGGGCUCAAUAACAGUACCACUGUAUCUGGCAUCCCACAAGGUUGAUUGUGGAGAUUGGAACUUAAGUCAUUCUCCACUGUACUCCAAAAUGUGAGGCUUCUUGUUUCAAGAAACAAGUUUCUGAUGAUUCUUUUUUCUUGUGUCAUACAGGUUUAUGGUGGUGAAGCUAGGAUCUCAACUCUGAAAAAGCUGUUCCCUUAUAUGGAGGAUAAAAAAAGCCUUUCUUCUGCCGAGGAACGGGCUAAGGUGGACGGAAAAUCUUCUUUAUUGGCUGCUGUGGACUAUUAUGUGGGCAUGCAAAGUGACAUUUUUGUUUCUGCUUCACCAGGAAACAUGCAUAAUGCACUGGUAAGACUUGGUAAAUUAGGUUAAUUACUUGAAUCUGUGUUCUGUUAUGAUGAAUUGGAUUGCUGAUGCAACAAGAAUGAUGCUGAGUUGGAAUCUCUGGAAUCCUCAGGUAGGACACCGAACUUACAACAACUUGAAGACCAUUAGACCGAACAUGGUGCUCUUGGGCAAGCUCUUCCUAAAUAAAACCUUGGAAUGGUCAGAUUUCCAGCAAGCAGUUAAGAAUGGGCACAAGAAUAGACAAGGGCAACUCAGGUUAAGAAAAGAAAAGCAAUCCAUCUACACCUAUCCUAUUCCUGAUUGCAUGUGUCAAGCAUAGUUGAUUCUGAUCCAAACACAAAACCUUGUUUGGCCCUCUUUCUUCAUACUAUAAUCCAGGCCGGUAGUGGCUAAACAUUGAUAAUGGUAAGUGGAACUCUUUCAUCGCUGUCUAUGACUUGUAAGAGAAAGCAGAAGACUACUUGGACUUCACCCUUACCGCGAUGUGCUGUUUGCCUGCUGAUUUAAGAAGUGUGAGUACUCUUCUUGGCUCUGGAUUUUACCAGUGCUAAUAAGCCAAUUAGUCAAGUGCAUAUUCAGUUCUUCAUCGGUAGUUGCUGUCGGUGAUCUAAUAUUUUUGCCUUUCCCACCACGACAGUCUUGGCCUCCUCUGCGUGGAAUGGGACUGCCAUCCACAUGAAAAUUGAAGCUUUUCUUGGAGAAUGUAGAAGUUUUGGUUAUCAUUUCUGUUUGCGUAAUUUAUGCUUAAGUAAUCCAAUGAGGUGCAUGUAAAUCAUUACUAUGAUUCUAUGAAGUGCGUGUAUGACUAGGUCUGAAAUCAGAAGGUUUUAUUGUGAUCAAUUCUAUUAGUAGCAUAAUAAAAUAUGUGGUAUGUACCAUCGAAUUUCCAGCUCCGUUGCUUGAUUUGACACACUGACGUUAACUUGAAAGUUACAGCUCUCAAAACGACUUAAUCUAGUCAUUGACUCACUUGUGUCUGGAUUGUAAUUUUUUGGUUAAAAAUUAUAUAUUUACAUCACAAACAUAUUUUUGCACCAUAAGUGAAAGUAAUACAUAAUUACAUAUAUAUUUCAAAUAAUCUCUUUCAAAACAAAUCGGAGUAUUUUUAUAAUUUAAUAUUUUAUUAGGUAUUACCAUUACUACCAAUCUAUAUCCUCCUUUCCCCUUUUCUUCAUCUUCCCCGGCCCGGCCAUCCCCUCUCCCUCCUCUACCCCAAACCCCUCCCCCCGGCCCUUUGGUCGCGACCUUUCUGGUCAUGGGCAGAGGGGAGGGUGGUUUGGGAGGGGCAGGACGGAGGGAAGGAGAGGAAGAGGGAGAGAGGGAGAAAGGAGGCGGAUGAGCGAUGGAGGAAGGGGUGGUGGCAAGUAAAAGAGAUAGAGGUGGUAAUUAUUUUUAUUUAUUUAUUUAUAUUUUUAUUAGUCUAUUUGAGAUUUGUAUAGAUUAGAUGCUUUUACAAUUAUAUUAUGCAACAUUAUAUUUGAAAAUUUUUUUUUUAAAAAAGCUCAAUCCUCAUAGAUCCACAAUUUUAACUACUUUUUUUCACAUCAUAAAAUAUGCGGCUAAAAGUAUUGUUCCAAAUAAUCUCAUAUCCAAACAUAUCAAAUUUGUUAUCCAAUUUACUUGAUUUUGUACUGCCGUAUGGAUUGGCUAUCCUGAUUAGAGGAUUCCGCUUGCUGAUGGAAAAAGUUAUCUUAUGCAAUCAAGAGUAAAACCACUUUUAUCUCUUGGGGCUUUCAAUACAAACGGUCUUGCAAAUUCUGACCCACAAUAGAUUCCUUCUGAUAUAAGUUCAAAGAAAAAAAAAAACUCUUAACAUACUCGCAUAAACUUCUAAAUUCAAUGAAUUUUGAAUUUCUGAGUUCAAUACAUUCCCAUUUACAGGUGUUAUGAAAUUCAUAACAGUGCAAAACGCAGCUCCAAAAAACACGCUUUAUGCAUUCUGCACUUUGUUAAAAGAUAUGCCAGUACUAGACACAGAUCACUUUUCUUUUUCCUGCAAAUCACGCGGUCCUCCAUUUGGAAUUUCGCCAAUUUCAUCCUGCUUAUCUUUGCCUACAGUAGCCAACCCAUUUCCAUUCCAGCAGGCAGCUACGUCCUUGACCUCUGAUUGAGUUGGGGCUGGCCAUAUCUUCCUCAAUUGGAAGUGUCAUUUUCGAGCCUUCUAAAGCAACGCCAAGAACAAUAUUAUCUUCCAAUGUAGUCUUUGAGCUGACGCUGAUGGUAUAUGCCUUUCAACAUCUGGCAUUGCCUGUGAAGUGCUAGAAGCUACAGCUUUGCCAUCACGGCCAAAUUCUUGGACAGAUGGACGCUGUAUUCAGGUACCUUUCCUCCAGUAUUCAGACUUGUUGCAACAGCUGAAGCCUCUUCAGAACAGCUCUAUCAGCUACCUGCUUCACGGAAUUUCUUUGGCCUGGAUCAAUGGAACCCAUAUGUGGCAAGGCAUCAGAGUUGAAGCUCUCAACUGUUGCCUUUUGAUUGUUGUCAGAUAUCAGUUCUGUGGAGCCCUCAUCAUCGACUUUGUCAUCAUCAACAAUUGAUGUUGGUCCAACUUUAGCAUCCACCUUAGUCUCAGAUGUUGAGGUUGCUUCAACCUUCUCAUCUUUUUCUUCAUUAGGUUGUUCUGUACGACCUGUUGUCCUGAUUUUAUUGUCAUUAUUAACUUUAUAAGAAGGAUCAACCAGCAGGAAAGGACGAUUAGAUGCCGCUCUAGUACGACGGAAAAUGGUCUCAGAAAAUGGAAUGGUUUCCCAUCAGUUUCACCAUAUACUUUCUGCACUGUACGUAUGGGGGUGGCAAGCCGAGCUCGAUGGUGACUGAUCACUCUAAGGAGAUCUUGCAAGAUAGACUCCUAUAUUGAGGGAAUUACACUGAUUAAAAGGCUAUAUUUUCGAGCCAUUGUACAUGCUAUAAAAUGUAUUGAGACAAUAAGAUAAAUGACAAGAUGAACUCUGAGUGCAUUAUUAGGUAAACAACAACUUGUUGAUUAAAAAAAAAAUCUAGAAACUCGAGGAGAGGUACUCAAGACUUGAACCGGUACGUCACGGUUACCUACCAGUGAGCUAGGUCUUAGGGAAUGCAGACCUCUCCUGAAUGUUUAACACUAAAAGCAUGAAACUAGUAAAUGCAGCUCAGAACUACUCGCAGAAGCUGCAGCUUCCAGCAGACCUUAAUGACGACAAGGCAGCAACAAAGGCAACACAGAAGAUAAAUAGAAUCCAUACUACUAAAAAACCUAAUUAGCAUCUGAAAUCCCAUUUGCAUGUACCAUCUAGCUAAUCUGAUUUACUAUUAAGUGUUGCUUACCUUACACAUAGGUACUCUUCAAAACGCGAGGUCUUCACGAAGCAAGAGACCAUAAUCUGUUAUAUGAUACAGGCCAACAAAAAGUUAUUGCACUCUUAAAUAGCUACAAGCCAUAAAGCUAGAUGAAAAACAAUCAAGGCAAAAGAAUGACAAAUUUUAUUCUGGCAACCAAAGCAGAGGCAAGAGUCAGCAAACAGCUUCAUAUUGGCCUAUUCAGCUAAUUUGGUGAAUAUAAUCAGUAUUUAGUAGCUAAUAACAACUGAAGAUUAGAUGCCCCAGUGUCCUUCUGCAUAGAUCAACGCAUUUUUGUAUUUGAAUGUAACCUUCAGCUAUGUAAAGCUCAUUUCAUACAAGAACAAACAAAACUCUUCCACGAAUCAUCUCUUCUCAUCAGAUAAUGUAGUAGGACUACUUCACAUAAAAACGAGCCAAUGAUAACAGUUAUGAAAUGAAAAACUCACCAUGAGUGCCUGAUUCUCUGUAUCUAUAUAAUCUAGAAAUACUCGUCUAUGCAACUUCUGCUGCUCUAUUUGAGGAUUUUUAGCCAAAACCUUGCGCAUAUCAGACACAAUAUUCUGUUAAAACAAAAGGUAUAAGUGGCGUGAAAAUAGGAACAAUGCCAACAUCAUAGCAUUUAUAAGAAGGAAUAUCAAAUCUUACAUUGAUCUUAUUGACAUCCAAAUGACUUAUGGCAGGCUGGAUUUAAUUCGCCAAUGAGUCUUCUGGCUAAGAUUCCUUACCACAUUCAUUGUAAACUUGUGACUUGGAAUGUGAACUGCUUCACGGUCAUCACCUCUUAUAACUGUUGGUGACCACCAUCCCACAUGCUGAACAACAAAUUAAAUACAUUUUAGAUUCUCCAGACAGUAUUUCAACACUAAGUCACAUGUUCAUACAGUAUUUAAUGAUCCAGUUAACUCUGCAAGGAGUUUAAGAUUUAUAUGCAGAACUUUGUCACCACAAAUAUCAUAAAGAUUUUAGGACAAUGCAGACAAACCUCAACUGUACCAGAAACUUCAUAGCCAUCAAUCUUUGUCUGAAUCCAAUCGUUGAGAACAAAUGGCCGUGUUGCAUGGAUCAUUACACUUGAAAGAAAAUUUGUGAGAAUCUGAAGAAAAUGGAAGAGAACUAUUUAGCCUUAGAAGGAAAGGGAAGCUAAGACAGAUGCGGGGAAAGGUAUUUACAGUAAUUACUUGCACUAAUUGCUACAAAAGAUACAGGGAGGAAGGAGAAUGAUUUACCUCACGACCAGCAAGGGUUAAUAAUACUGUCCCAAGACCCCCAGCAGUUAGCCACUUCUGGGUUGAAAAACCAAGCAAUUCCAUGAAUAAUGAAACAGCAGCAACCCAUACUGCAGUAUAUACAGCUUUUCCAGCAAACUCAAAGCCCAUCUAAAGGUGCAAAGCAUCACGAAGUUAGAUUAUUUACAAUACCAUAGGCAAACUGACAGAUCCAUUAGACCAAAACCAACCAAAUGAACAAAAUGCUAGACCUAAUUGACAGUCUAUCUAAACACAUGGAUGGAAUUCUCACGAAUUAGGAUGCAUGUUAUCCGUAAGAACCUCUAAACAGUAUCACGAAUACGUGACAGCUGUAAACUAAACACCUACUGUAGGUAGUGUUUGUAGUGCAAAACACGAAAUCUUUAGUUAACUCAGAACCAAAAGGCAAUACCAUAAUAAGCAACAGAGAAUGUGCAUGCAUGACAAGGCAGAAAGACUAGCAUCUUAAUUACCCAUUAGUCAUUAAUGACUGGCAACAUAAUGGCCUCUUGCAUCAAUUAAUGGGCCUUUUCUACAAGUGGUUUUAGGUUCACAUUAAUUUCUAGUAUGCCAGAACAUUUGAACGGUUGCACAUGUAAUGAGAGAAUGUAAAUCUGUUGCAUAGUCUAAAAGUAAUCAAAACGUACUGUUCUUGCAUCACUAGAUUCUUUUGUUUCGACAAAGAACUUCUGAGUCUGAUGAAUCAAGCUGUCCAAAAAAAAAAAACCAAGAUUAGAUAUCAUACUCUAGAAUCUAUACUAACUCCAACAGAAAGGGCAUGACAAGAGAAGCAACAGACUGCAGACAAGGUCCAAUUACAGCAAGCACAUUUACCUGCUCACAUCCAUGCGUACAAGUAUGUUUGUAUCUAAGGGGCACAAAGAAAGGGGAGGGAGGGAGGGAGGGUGGGGGGAGGAGAGAGUUGCACAGCAGCAUAAAGUUGUACAAACAAUUAAAUGGAAAGCAGAGACUCGUCCUAAGAAGAUUGUUGCCACAGCAAAACAACUUAUAUUUUCAAGGAGGGGCAAACAACAUACAGUUACAAGAUCAUAUCUUAUGAUAUAAAGAGGGGGAGGGGGAAGGGAGAGAGAGAGAGAGAGCUAUGCCUUUAACAUCAGCAAAACAACCAACUCCAGUAGAAAUAAAACAAAUUAAACAACCAAUAAUGCGAACUUUGAGUUUUCUAAGAGAAAUCAAUCGUAGAAUGACCCUAUCCUUUUACUUUAACAGAAAAGAAAACAAAGAUAGUAAUAGAUCAAGUUGUUUGUUGCCUAGCACUAGAGAGUUUUAAGCAAUAAGUUUACCUUGAUAAACAGUAGGCAAAGGCAAGAAUAGUAGACAGUGAUCGUACAAAAUACAAAAGCCGUCGCUUGACAGCCUGGCUAGCUACUGAAGUUAGAAUCACAGGAUCAAGUGCUCUGCAGAAGUUCCAUCAAAAGGAAAAAUAAUCAGAUCGUCUAAAGACAAAACAGGUUAUAACAAACAUUCCAAUUUUGUCCCACUAGUACCUGCAAAUGAGCAUUGCUCCAGUCCAAAACAGCAAAGGUUGAAGAUAGGAAGUCACAAGAUUAUGUAUCCCGCUCUUUUUCCAACUACCAUCAUUCUUCUGCAUGAAAAAAUCAUGAGGGACAUCAGCAAAGUAUCAGCUUAAACACCUCAUGAAAGAAAAGAAAAACAUUGGGGUAAUGAUAAAGAAUGUACACUUAGGAAAAGAAUCCUCCCGAAACGCAUGAGCGGCCUAAGCCCCAAGCAGCCAAGGCAAUUAUACCAAUGGCUGGAACCAACUGAAGCACAGGAGGACUUCCAUGCAAAGUACCAUGUGACCUGCUAAAAAUGGUUAUGAGUUUAUCCAAUGUGCCGUCAUCUCAUGGUGCAAAAAAAAAACUGUAUUUGCAAUAAAUAAAGACAAGCUUAUGGUCCAUCCUACCAUUUCAUGACAACCAACGAGGACAACAAGAGGGAAAGGGGACCCUUAUAAGAAUCCCACAGAAAGCCUUGAAAGCAUUAAAUAAAACAUGUACCUGGAAAUUAUUUUUGCAGCUGCUUUCAGAACAGGAAUCUCAUUUCCUCCACCGGGUUUUAAUAGGGAUCGGCACGUAAAACCAUUAAAUUUAGCAUUAUUAGGGCAUAGGGGGCCAUGUACAUUUUUCAAAACGCAGAGACUCCAAGCAUCCUGUCGCUACAUGAUUGACAAAAUUAGUGUCCACACAUAAGACAACUUCUCUAAAAUAAAUAAAUAAAUAAAUAUAUCCCUCACAGAUUAGAGAAGUGCUGGUCAAGGACUAGGUAAAUUUUUAGAAUCCACGAAAUUUGACAAGUUCCCAUUAAAUUUAACCAAAUAUAUCGAAUUUCGCUCAUUUCAUCAUCCACUUGGAAAGUUUCAACUCCCAAACAAAACAUGAAUCCAAAAAGAUAGCAAAUAACAAGCUUAAGUAGAUAAUGGAUAUGCUAAAAAACAAACUUCUUCUUUGGUAUCAACAACAUUGAGAUAUUUGGGUUGGUAUGCUAUUCACGAAUUCCAAUCAGUUGCUUAGCAUGAAAGCAUAAAAUUCCAGCAGCAUAAGAGGAGUAAAUGGAAAGCAUAUGCGCAUUACAUACCACUGAAUAAGAUGAAAGAGACGAGCUAAACGAGUGUAAGCGGGUCUUCUCCAUCAUGCCCUGGACACGAACAAAUGAAAAUUAGAAUAACUUACUUGAGAAAAAGUUAGCAAAGAGACUGAAGGGUGCAGAUCAUGUACCGAAUGUAGUAAACCUCCAUGCACCUUAAACUGGCCAUAGUGGCCACAGAUUCGCAUUUCACAGGGCGAAAGCAAGGAAGUUGCAGCUGCCAUUGUCUCAACAUAUAAAAAGAAACGGCACAAUACCGAGUGCACAUCAACUGGAACUCCCCCUGGAACCCACCAUUUUCAUAAGAAAUAGAUACACAACCAAAAAAUCAUGUGAAGUCAAACAGGCAGGCAGACAUAAUUAAAUAACAUUUAUCCCAGAAUAAUGAUCAAGAAAAAAAUAAAGAUUCCAUUUUUAGCAACCCAAACAAUUAAUAUGCACAACUCUACAAUAGUAAAAUUUUCUUUUCUUUUUUUUUUAACUCUAUAAUAACAGUUCAUCAAAGACAAAAACUAAAUUCUCUAAUUAUAGAAAACACUUUCGCUGGACAACGAUUUAGAGCAAAUCCAUUUUUGUUAUAAAGUUACACAUAAAUUAACAAAUAAAAGUAUCCAAGUGCAUAACAUGAAGAAUUUCCCUCGUCCUUAAGCUUUGACAAUCUCUCUCUCUCUCUCUCUCUCUCUUCUUUUUUUUUUGGGGAGGGGGUGGUGGGGUUCCAAGGGAAUAGAAAAAGGUUGCAUUAUUUACUUAUUUAGCAGUAUUUUCUUAGCUAUCCUCUGCUACAUUUAGCUGCCAAAUCAAACAAAAUAACAGAAAAGGUCAUCAAAAUAAUCUCCAUCCUUCGGUGCUUAUUAUAUUCCCAGUUCCUCGUCCUCCAAAUUUCAGCUCAACCUUAACUGUACAGCCACAAUCCGAACAAAAUUUAUCACAAUUAAAGAACCCAAGAUUCAAAAUGCAGAGCAUCUUAACUAAUUAACCCUGCAUAUAUCAACAAGGACGACGAAAUUUUAAAUAAAAUAAAAUAAAAAAAGAAAAAGGAAAAGGAAAACUAAUGGCUUCUACCUUAGUUUACCGCAAAAUGCAAACAGCAAGAAAAGCGGACCAAAAUAAAUAAAUGAAUAAAACUUUGUUCGGAACUGAGAAGGAAGGAAAGAGGAAAAACUUGCGCCGGCCGGCUGCUACUGUUCCGUGGUCAAAUGGAACUACUACUAUUAUUACACGGGGCCUUUUGUAGAGGGGGGAUUGUUCAUUAUUGUUAUGGAUAAAUAGGGACUGCUGACGUGGGGGACUGAGAGCUAUGUUUUGUUGCCGCGUACGGCUUUGUCAGUCUAUUGCCUGUUGCUUUGCUUUUGCAACUAACCCACGUUUCCCACAAGUUGUUUUGCCUUUUUUUUUUUUGGGUAAAGUACAUAAAACCCCCCUGUGGUUAAGGAAAUUGACACGAAAUCUCCUUAUUGUUUAGAAACUCCCACUUAACCCCCCUAUGCUUUGGACUUAUUUGGCUUUUACCUGCUAACCGACUGAGGAGCCGGUAAUAAUAUGAAAUACCAAAAAUACCCUCAUAUAUAAUAUGUGAAAAGUUACGGAUGCAAUGAGUCAAUUUGAGAAAUUGCAUCUUGAAUAGGCAUCCCUCCAUCAUGGGCUGAGCAUCGUCCCUUCCUUUCCUAGCGGCAGGAUCUCUUUGUUCUUCGCAUUCGCUGGAGUAGCAUUCCGCAUCCCAAAACAUUCUUCGCUAGCAAGCGUUGUCCACAAAAGCAGCACCAACUCCAAAGUCGGCAUUCCUUCUUCCUGUUCCUGAGGAAAAACCCAUCUUCAAUGCACACCGUCUGCUUCUCGCCUGAUUCUCUAGAUCGUUCCCGGGACCAGCAACAACGAACGAAAGCCCAAAGAAAAUCCUUACCAGUGUAAACAGCCCUAAUUCAGGGCGCGUAGAUCAAUGCCAAAGUAAGCUAAAGCUUCGUCUUUUCCGUUCUGGGUACAGAAUCUCAGGGAUUGGCUCAGAAGCCGCAGGCGCUUUUUCUGAUUGGUUUGUUGCUUUGCUUGCUCCCUUCUCUUGCUUACACAUUCUGUAGCUUUUUUUGUUUUUCAAGGCUUUGAUUGCCUGUUUGAUUAGGCCUAGAUCUGGCUGAAACCUUUUCAAAAGGAGUCGAAUCAGUCUGGCGACUUCCUCAAUUGCUAACCAACUAAACCCAGAAGAGAUGCCAUUGUGGAUGGAAAGGCUAACUACGCAGCUAUGCGACAGAAAGAUGGGCGAAGUGGAUCAAAAAGGUAGAUUUGUGGCCCUUGAGAACUGCCUUUGGGGAUUGAGCAAGCCAGGGAUUAAGAGCGUAUGUUAGGUAGUUCAGAUUUGUAGCAAGUAGUGCCCAUGAAUCUGAGUUCGGAGUGAGCUGGAGAUGCUCCCUUUUCUCUAUGAAUUGCGAGUCACUCAAGAAGCAGUGCCCAACCUAGGACUACUAUGAACCAUUGCUUGCUUCCCGCCUAGCAAUCCUGGUAAUUGGAACGAAGCUAUAGCCCUUUCUUUCAUUCUCUUUCGAAAUUAGGUAUGAAAGGCUCUAUUGCUUUCCCAUUGAAGAAGGGUUAGGCUGACCUGGAAUCCAAUUGAAUAGAGGUUGGGUCUUCGAUUUGCAUCUCUGUCAAAAUUUUUCAUUUGCAGAUCUACAACUAUGGUGGGUGCAAGCUUGGAAGAGACAUAGAGGACAAAAUUGGAAUGAAAUGAGUUUCUGCUAGACACAAGUUACCAUUAAGUCGCGUAAAUAUCACUCGCUAGCUCCCCAGCCGGUUAGCAGGUAAAAUCCAAACAAGUCCAAAGCACAGGGGGGUUAAGUGGGAGUUUCUAAACAAUGAGGAGGUUUCGUGUCAAUUUCCUUAACCACAGGGGGUUUUAUGUACUUUACCCUUUUUUUUUUAUUGGUACGAAAUAUAGUACUAGUAAAUACUAAAUACUACCAAAAAGCGUUUAAAAAUGGAUUCACAGAAAUAAUUUUUUUUUUUUAAAAAAAUGACCAAUUCAUACAAGUUCAAAAUCUUUUCAUUUUUCAACACUUGACUAUAUGCACUAAAAUUAUUUUAAAUACAUGUCACGUGUGUAAAAUUUAGAGUUAAAUUUCAAAAUUAAAAUGACAUGAUAUGCAUCCAAAUUCGUAUAUUAUCAAUGUCGAUAAAAUCUAUCUAACCAAAAAAAAAAGAGCAAAGAGUAUCAUUUUUCUAGAUGUUGGCGGUCAAUUGCAAAAGGAUACAUAUUUCUUGAGGUUGGGUGCCAUAAAAUAAAUUCCAAGUGGUGUAAUUGGAUGAUCACAUAUUCCAAUUCGAUCUCAAAUUCAAGCAUGGAUAAUGCUAUUUGAAUUCAAGCGAGUAACGAUACUUGAACUCGAACUCGAACUCGACUCAUGCGAGUAGUAUACAAACUUAAACUCCCCUCAAAUUAACUUGAAAAUCCCGUCAAGUCUUGUCGAGUUCGAACCACCCAAAUCCAAGCUUGAAAUCGAGCUCAAAGCCUGAUUUUUAUAUUCAAUUUCCAUUCCUAAUUUUCCAUUCAACUCAGCUCAAGACGUGCAUUGAGGAUGGUCAUUUCGGCUCGAGUACCUCCCGAAGUGCCACCUCGGCAAGACCUGUUGGUUUGGAACCCACCUCAUUACCACUCCGGCUAAGAUCAUUAGCCGAAGUGAUGCUUGAUUAUUUGAUAACUGCAGAAAGGUACGAUGUGACUCCUGACACAUCUGACACCUGGAAAGGCUGCUCUGAUACGCCGUCUGAACCUGACAGAUGUCCCCUCACAUCUCAUAAAGAUUGGUCAAGUCUACCGGAUGCACUGACCAUCUCAGAUCUUUAGGGACUCGUGCCGACAGUCCCUCUCUCCUAUCCUUCCUCUAUAAAUUCUCAACAUUUCUAUUGAGAAAGGGAUGAUGACCAAUUCUCUGGUAACAUACUCCUCCCUUCAUUAUACUACCUCCUUACAACCGAACUAACUUGAGCUUCGGAGUUAUAUUAGGGGAUUCAGCCCCUCUUAUUACCCAAGCAGGUGACCACGUCCAAGAGAGCUGCCCAAGAUAAAAAUACUUCUCCAGUUUGGGUGACUUACUCCAGCGGGACGGAAAUCACCUCUUCAAUUGGCGCCGUCUGUGGGAACGCAAAGACAUCAGAGUAUGAAGCCUACGCGUUCUAAGAGCAGAAAAGCUCUCACUAUUGGGGCUGAGCAAAGUAAUGCAGCCCAACAGAAGGUAUAUCUGAAGGGCAGGGGUCUCCAAGGACCCAGCCCGCAAACGAAGAAGCCAUCUCUCGUAUGGCCGAGUUUGUUACUGACAAUCCCAACAUCUUCGAGGAAUUAGGGAGAUACCUGAAGAGGCAAGGCAAGCAAAAAGCCGAAUCCUCUAAGAGGAAGUCAGAUGGGUCUCCUGAAGACUCGUCCGAAAAGGAGUCUGAUGGAAGGCGCCUAAGCCGAAGUGCCUCGAAACGGGCAUUCUCCAAGGCCACCUCUAAGGUAGCCUCAAUGACCAAGGCAUUCUCCCGGGGACUCUUGGGCGACGACCUGAGGAGGAACCUCGGCCCCUGGGAUACCCGGGGUGAAUUACAUGAGGGCCCACCUUUCACCGACGAUAUCAAUGAGGAGAGGCUCCCUCCAACUUCAAGCUUCCCUCAAUUCCAUCCUAUGAUGGUCGGGUGAUCUGGAGGACCAUAUCCACGCCUUCAUCUCGGCCUUUCGCUUAUACUGCAUCCCUGACCCCGUCAUAUGCCGAGCCUUCCCAGUAUUCCUCCAGGGGACAGCUCGAAAAUGGUUCUGGGGGUUAGAACCUAGGAGCAUCUCAACCCUGGGAUGACUGGUAGAAAGAUUUCUCCACAGGUUCAUUCCAUCCCGACCUACGACCCGAACCUCGGCUACCUGCUGAACAUGCAGCAAAACCCGGGUGAGUCACUUCGGUCGUAUGUUCAGAGGUUCCAUGAAGAGAGCGUGCAGAUACCUGAUCCCAAUGAGCAGGUCACCAUCGCCGCUUUCACCCAUGGGCUCGUUUCCGGGGUGUUCAACACAGGAAUCCACAAAAAAUAUCCCCGCACUCUCCAUGAACUAUGGUUUAAAGGUCGAGAAGGGCAUACAGGCCGAGAGCUCAACCGCAUGAAAAAGAAGUCCAAGCUGCUCGCCCGAGGGCUGACGCCCGAAGAGGGAAGGAGCCUAGCCGAAGUGAAGCGGGGACAGGAAGCGGCUUCCAAAGUCCCGGCUGAGAUCGCAGGAGUAUGUUCGACAGGAUCUCAAAAGGAAAGUCACCCAUUCCUGAAUCCGAACUAACUCCUUGAACACUAGCCGGUCUCGGGUGCUAUCCGUAAUGGAACAAAAUAACCUUGGAAAGGCACCCCCCAAGAUGCAGGGCAGCAGGGACAAGAGGAACUCGACCCUCUAUUACUUAUAUCACGAGAUAUAGGACAUGAAACCGAGGACUGUAACGACCUCAAGAGAGAGAUCGAGAACCUCAUUAGACAAGGCCACCUCAAGCAGUUUAUCCGCCGAAGUGGAGGUCAUCCGCGAUGAGAAUCGACGUGAUAAGCGAGGUGAUCAACCCAAGAUGAGAGGCGGGUAUCGAGAACUAGUUGCCGACCUCCUGAGAAUCCUAGGGAGUCGAAGAGGCCACCCGGAGACGGAUCCUCAGGUCAAGGAUUAGGAUAUGACCAAAUAUUGCCGGAGUCAUCAACACCAUUGCUGGAUGUCCGACGGGAGGAGAUAGUCAAAACUCCCGGAAGAGGACCUACAGACAAGCCAACCCGGAUCAGGCUGAGUCGAGUUCUCGCCUCUCUGAGGUGAUCACUUACGGGCCCAGUGACCCCGUCCCAGCUGCCUCCAGCAGUCAUGAAGCAUUGGUGAUUGAAGUCCUCACCAAUAACUACAUCGUGAAAAAGGUCUACAUUUACCCGGGGAGUUCAGUUGACGUCAUGUACCUUCGUACUUUUGAUAGCCUUAAACUGGCCAUGGUGAGAACCCUCUUGUCGGGUUCGGGGGACACAUUGUGCAUCUCGAAGGGAUGGUGACUUUGACAGUGACUGUAGGGCGUCACCUCCGCUGCAGAACCAUCCCCGUCAACUUCGUGUGGUCAAGGCUGACUCCCCAUACAACUUACUCCUAGGCCGACCUACACUUAAUGCUUUACGGGCAGUAUACUCCACCUAUCACCUAAGCUUUAAGUUUCCUACUCCAGAGGGGGUAGCCGAGGUCAGCAGCGACGUCUGCGCUGCCCGGGAGUGUUACCGCCACUCUACAAGCAGCCUCCCCGUCCACCUCCGGAGCAAGGCCCGAGAGGAGGUCAAAUAUCCUCUCUAUAGAUAGCAUCGAUCCUCAGCGAGCUGAGAAGAUCCCGAGGCUGGAGACUGGGGAUGAGGUGGAAGAAUUCCCUCUGGACCCCACGAAGCCUGAUCAAACGAUUCGCGUCGGUACCCGAUUGCCCAGUCCUAUCAAAAGAGGUAUGGUGAGCCUUCUCAGAGAAUACCGGGACGUCUUUGCUUGGGCCGCAGAGGAGGUUCAAGGGGUCCCGCAUCACCUCAUGAUACAUGAGUUGAACGUCGACCCCCAAAUCCGCCCGGUCAAGCAGAAAGAAGGCACCUCGGCCCUGAGCGUAGCCGAGCUGUUGGCGAAGAGGUGGACAAGCUCCUCCCUGCAAAGAUCAUCCGGGAGGUCCAAUAUCCUACUUGGUUAUCCAACCCGGUUAUGGUAAAGAAGGACACGGGGGCUUGGAGAAUGUGCGUCGACUUUACCGAUCUCAACAAAGCUUGUCCCAAGGACUGCUACCCAUUGCCCAAGAUUGAUACCCUGGUGGAUUCAGCAAUGGCUAUGAAGUCCUCUGCUUCUUUGAUGCCUUCAAGGGGUAUCACCAGAUCGGAUGAGACCGGAAGACCAGGAGAAGACCGCCUUCUACACUGACCGACGGCACGUAUUGUUACACCACUAUGCCUUUCGGAUUGAAGAACGCCGGGGCCACAUACCAACGCUUGGUUAACCAAGCCUUUAAGUCUCAGAUCGGCCGGAUGGUUGAGGCCUAUGUAGAUGAUAUCCUCCUCAAAAGUCGGACAACCUCCACAUUCCUUGCCGACCUGAAGGAAGUCCUGGAAGUCUUUCGGAAGACGCGAAUAAUGCUAAACCCUAAGAAGUGUGUCCUGGGGGUCACUUCGGGGAAGUUUUUGGGUUACCUCGUCUCCAGGCGAGGUAUUGAAGCAAAUCCAGACAAGGUGAAAGCAAUUCAAGAGAUGUCUUCACCUCGGUGCGUCCGCGAUGUCCAAAGGUUGACGGGGCGGUUGGCCGCCCUGAAUCGAUUCCUAUCGCAUUCAGCCUCCAAGGCAUUGCCGUUUUUUAAAGUCCUUAAAAAGGCCAACAACUUCUCCUGGACCGAAGAGUGUCAACAGGCGUUUGAGCAGCUAAAGGAGUACCUCAACCACCUCCCAACACUCACUUCACCUCGCCCAGGGGACAAGUUAAUCUUGUACCUAUCUGCUGCCGCUGAAGCUGUAAGUGCCGUACUAAUAAGGGAGGAAGGUGUCCAAACACCUGUUUACUAUGUCAGCCGAGUCCUCCGAGGUCCGGAGACCAGGUACCUCAGGCGGAGAAACUUGUGCUAGCCUUAAUUCAUGCAGCUCAUAGGCUUAAGCCCUACUUUUUGGCCCAUCACGUCUGCCUGAGGACAGACCAACCACUUCGGCAGGUCCUAUCGCGACCGGAGGCCUCUGGACGCCUCACCAAGUGGGCCAUCGAGCUGGGAGAGUACGAUUUAUCUUAUGAGCCUCGCACGGCCAUUAAAGCCCAGGCUCUCGCGGAUUUUCUUGCCGAACUUACUUUUGAGGAAGCGAAUGAGAUCAUCCCGGUUAUUACCCAGGCUGUCACCUCGUCCACCGCCGAGCCUCAACAAUGGACCUUGCAUGUAGAUGGCUCAUCCAAUAGUGAGGGUAGUGGAGCUGGUUUGCUCCUCGAAGAUCCCCAAGGAGAAAUUUGCUCGUAUGCCUUGAGGUUUGAUUUUGCUGCUUCCAACAAUGAGGCCGAAUACGAAGCAGUCAUCGCCGGCCUGCAGUUAGCUCGUAAGCUCGGGCCGCGCAUAUUAUGGUCUAUAGCGAUUCUCAACUCGUUGUAUGCCAAUUACUAGGCGAAUACGAGGCCAGGGAAGAGGUGAUGCAUCGAUACCUCUCCAAGGUCCUCCAGCUAGUGGCACACUUCCAGUCUUUUGAAAUCCAGAGGAUACCACGGUCACAGAACAGGAGAGCUGAUGCCCUCUCCCGGCUCGCUUCUACCUCUUUUUCUGACCUGAACAAAACGGUCAUUGUAGAAGUUUUAGCCGCACCGGGGUACGAAGGGGAAGAGGUGUAUCCCAUCUACCCUGGGGAUACCUGGAUGGGACCGUUAGUUCGAUUCCUCAGCCGAGGUGAACUCCCCGAAGACCGAGCUGAGUCACGCAAACUUCAGCGUAAAGCAUCUCGGUACGCCCUUCAACAGGGCCUCUUGUACAAGAUGUCCUACCUCGGCCCAUGGCUACGAUGUAUCACCCCAGAAGAAGGCGACAGAAUUCUUCAGGACAUUCACGAGGGACUCUGUGGUGCCCACGUCGGUUUCAGGAUGCUCGUGAAAAAGGCUUUGCUGCUUGGAUACUUUUGGCCCACCAUGAGGGUAGAUGCCCAGGUCAUGGUCCUUUGCUGCCCUUCUUGUCAGCACCAUGCCCUGAGCACCAUGCCCCUGAGCACCACCGACCAACCAAUCUUAUGAUUCCUAUCACCUCGCCGUGGCCCUUCGAGCAGUGGGGAACCGACAUAAUCGGCCCAUUUCCAAGGGCUCCAGGUGGUUAUACUUACGUGGUGGUAGCAGUGGACUACUUCACCAAAUGGGUUGAAGCGGAGCCCCUGAGAAGCAUCACCGGAAUGGCCGUUCAAAAAUUUUUCUAGAAAAAUGUGGUUUGUUGUUUCGGCUUGCCCCGGGUGGUCAUCUCGGAUAAUGGCAGACAGUUCGCGGACAAUCCUUUCAAGACGUGGUGUGAACACUUGGGAAUUAAACAGCACUUCACCUCGGUGGACACCCUCAGGCAAAUGGACAAGCUGAAAACUUCAACCGAACUCUCCUCCAUGGCCUCAAGACCAGGCUUUACCGGGCUGGAUCGUCAUGGAUGGAAGAGCUCCCAAGCGUGCUGUGGUCCUACCGAACCACGCGAGCUCAGCGACUCAAGAAACACCGUUCUCUCUAACUUAUGGAUCCGAGGCUGUCGUUCCAGCCGAAUUCAUCACCCCAGCAGCGAAUGGCCGCGUACGCUGCCGAUGUCAAUGAAGAGGAGCGACGGGUUGAUCUCGACCUUGCCGAGGAGAAGCGCGAUAUGGCUGCGGCCAAAGUUGCUAUUUAUAAAAAUAUCCUAGCUGGUUAUUACAAUGCCCGGGUCAAACACCUAAGGUUCAGUCCAGGAGACUUGGUACUCCGGAAGAAUUCGGUUAGCCGAGUUGAACCCCAGGGAAAACUUAACCCCAAGUGGGAGGGACCCUACCGUGUUAUUGAAUCCAGCCAAAAUGGAUAUUGUAAACUGGCUUACCGAGAUGGUUCGCGUGUGCCCCGAACUUGUCAUGCUGAGAACCUUAAGUUGUAUUACCCUUGAAGGGUACGUGUUCUUAAAUUCCACUUCUUUAAGUUAUUUCUCACUCGUUCUUAUUUCAUUACAAGUGACAAAUAAGGGGACAAAGCAGUAGUUAAAAGGAAAAAACUGAACUCAAUCGAAAAGGAGAGAAAAUAUGCAAAACCCAACUUUAUUGAAGCAUGAAAAGCAAAAGGUCGGGGCCAUAAUUACAAAAGUGAAAUGCCGAUGACCUCGGCCAUCUAUUACAAAACAUGAGUGCUUCUAAGCACCUCCUGCCCUGGGGUCCUGUCCCCCAGGGUCUCGCCGCCUGCCUCGGCAUCCUGCUGUCCGGCAUUCUGCUGUUCUUCCUCUCCUCCACCAGCCUGGUCCCCUUCGGCACUGUCACCAUCCACACUCGAACUCCUGGAGCCACUUGUUGAAUUCAGCUCGGACCUCAGCCAGGUCCUUUCCAGUCCGGAUGCCCUCACCCACGCGGUCGCAUAAUUCCUUAGCAUCCUCAUUGUAGUGUGAAGCACUCUGGAAGGACUCCAGCUGCUCAGGGAGAAGAAAGGGUGCCGCAUCAUUAAUGGCCGACGUAUACCCGAACAUGAAGCUCGGCCGAGUGAGUUCACCGAGGUCGCGAAUGAAAGACUCCGACUUCCGGAAUGCUUCCACAGCGGUGGCCCCGGCUGUGUCUAUGGCCACUUUGGAUGAUUGCUCUUCCUGAGCUCUCUUCUCCCUCUCCUCAUCAAGAGCAGUUAUGAGGGAGUUGUUCGAGACCUCAGUCUUCUUCUUCGCCGCCUCAGCCUUGUCACGUGCCAGCUCGGCGGCCUUUAGUUUCCCUUCCAGAUCGGCGAUCUUCUUCUGGAGCUCGGAAGGUGAUUCAUAAGUCUCUACGAAAUCGCCGAAGCGUUGGUACAUCUCGGCAAGAAACGCCGUGGUGGAAGCCCAGGAGACCGAGGCACCCUGCAUCAGUUCGGCCGGAUUGAGUUUUCUAGUGUAAGUGUUGUCCUGUGGCAGGACUGAAUUCACCAGGAGCUCGUGCGCGACCUGGGGAUUCUUGCAGCGGUCAUUGACAUUGACCGACCACUCCGGGCAAAAUUGUGCUCCGGAGUGCCUCUUGUCCUCCCGGCUGCUAGAGAGGGCACGUGGUGGAGGUUCAAUAAUGAGUUCCCCGAGAUAGCGUCACCCUGGACAACGGUCGCACCUCGACCCCGGCCCCGAGGUUGAGAGGCUAUGGUUACUCCAUGGGAUGGAACUCCCACUGGAAUGGACGCUUUGGAUCUUCCCGGCGUGCCCGAGGUAUGCGACCCCUCGCCUAUAAUCACCACGACAGGUUCGCGAGUGCCUGCCGCGGCAGUGGUCUUCUUAGCCGGCCUGGAAGAGGACUCACCGGCGUCCUUGCGCUUUUUUGCUGGCCUCUUUGCCACCUCGACCUCUCCCGAGGUAAUCAGGUCGGAAACCUUCAUUACUGCAAAGUACGAAAUGAAGUUAGUUAGAAUUCAAGGAAAACAAACAAGAAAGUGAGAAGUGGAAAAGUACGAGGUAUGUGAAGCCUAGUGAAGACGAGGACGGGAAAGUCCGAGCUGAUCGAGGCUCGGCUGAGCUCGCCCUUCACGAGCACUCUUUCAGGGAAGUCCCAAUAGUUAAUCUUCAGGCCCGACCCCGUCAAUUUUUGGAAGUUGCGUUCUUCCAAUUUGCCCGGGGAGGUUUUUUUGACCGAAGUGGGAGGUCUCCACCAGAAUCCCCUGGGGAAGUCCUCAGCCGGGACGAAGAAAAAGUUCCUCUUCCACUCCUUUAUUGAGCUCGGGGCAUCAUAUACCAAUCUUGGAACCUUGUUCCCGCAGUAGAACCACCCCUUCUCGCUCCCACUGUUCUUAAGUGAAUAACAACGGCGGAAGAGGUUGACAUUCGGCUCUAUCUCUUGAUGUCGGCAGAGUAGCUGGAAGCCGACGAGGAUGCGAAUUGCAUUUGGAGUGAGCUGAGUAAUCCUCACCCCCCAAUACCUCAGGCAGUGCCUAAGAAACCUCGUAGUUGGCACCAUGAGUCCGGCCUCCAGCUGUUCUAUGUAGAUGGCUACCCUACCCUUUGGAGGCAGGGCGGCGGAUUGAUGUGGGCGCGGAAGGUAGAUACUGUAAUCCCUCCUCCACGGAUACUUGCGGACCACAUCGGCUAUGGAGCUUGGUCCACCGCACUGAUGAAGGCCGGCAUCUGACCAUAGUUUAGCGUGGCCACGUGUGGAGGAGUGGAGGGCUCUUGUACACCCACGUCCAUUGGAACUUCAUUCCCGAGGUGAUCAUUGUACAAGACCUCGGGCUCGACCUCAAUCUCUUCGGCCUGCUCUUCCAAAGACUCAGCUCGGCGGAUGCCUCCGCAUCUCCUCCCCGGGCUCGAUCAGACGCUUCCCCACCUCCUUCCUCGGCGUUAGAGGCCGUUCUCUCCUCGGAAGGGUCGGGCUCUCUGCCUCGGUGAAGUCAGGCCUCACCGUCUCUUUGUGUGUGCGAGCUGUUCUAGCCAUUAAUACAGAAAGAAGAAGUGAACUUACUUAGAAGAUGCGAAGUGAAAAAGUUGCUGAAGAAGAUGUAGGUUGGAAAGAUUGCCGAAGUGAAAAAGCAAAUGGACAGAGCUCUGAGAUGAUUUCAAAUUUUGGUAAAGAAUGGAACGGUGAAAAGAAACCCCUAUUUAUAGGCAACAAGGGGGGAACCGAAGAGAUGCGAUCUUUGGAUUCCCUAAAGCUCUCUCUCUCCCCUCAUUAAUGAAGGUGCUGUUCACCUGACAAUCGAUCGUAUUGAUUCGACGUUAAAGCUGCCAGCCCCCGUUUCACCUUCCCCUAGUCACAUCUACACAGUCGUGACGUGUCCUUGCAUUGUUCCGUGUUCUACACGCGCGUCAGCUUCGGGAAACGACGACCUCGGGAGGCCCCGACCUCGCUCUUCUUGAAGCUUGGGGGCUUAGUGAGGAUGGUCAUUUCGGCUCGAGUGCCUCCCGAAGUGCCACCUCGGCAAGACUUGUUGGUUUGGAACCCACCUCAUUACCACUCCGGCUAAGAUCAUUAGCCGAAGUGAUGCUUGAUUAUUUGAUAACUGCAGAAAGGUACGAUGUGACUCCUGACACAUCUGACACCUGGGAAGGCUGCUCUGAUACGCCGCCUGAACCUGACAGAUGUCCCCUCACAUCUCAUAAAGAUCGUCAAGUCUACCGAUGCACUGACCAUCUCAGAUCUUUAGGGACUCGCCGACAGUCCCUCUCUCCUAUCCUUCCUCUAUAAAUUCUCAACAUUUCUAUUGAGAAAGGGAUGAUGACCAAUUCUCUGGUAACAUACUCCUCCCUUCAAUUAUACUACCUCCUUACAACCGAACUAACUUGAGCUUCGGAGUUAUAUCAGGGGAUUCAGCCCCUCUUAUUACCCAAGCAGGUGACCACGUCCAAGAGAGCUGCCCAAGAUAAAAAUACUUCUCCAGUUUGGGUGACUUACUCCAGCGGGACAGAAAUCACCUCUUCAUGCAUCAAUAGCAACAACUCAGAAAUCAGCCCCAUCACCUCCAACAUUUACGUACGUUUUCCUCAACAUCAAUAUCAACUAAAGAAAUAACCCAAAAAAGAAAGAAAAGCUCACAAAAUCACCCAAAGUACUGAAAAUCGAGUUCUGCAGUUAGGGCGCUCCGGUCGUGAGAUUCUCACGGCUCUAGAAUAACUUGAAGUUCCACUACUACUUACUGUAUACUAGCUAUAUAUUUUUUGUUACACUACUCAUUAGUCACAACAACUGAUGCUGCCCUAAACGUUGAAUCUGGCGGGAUCCAUGAGACUGAAUCCCGAUGUAUUUUGUUAAGGCACGAAUUUAGCAAGUUUCAUUCCGGCUUUUAUCAUUUUGCUAGGACCCAUGAAUAAAGUCCGAUCGAGGCACGCUUCGCUCGUGGUUUCGGGGCUUGAGUGAUGAUAUUUUAUUCUGGCAAAUACGGAUGACACGAUUGGCCUGCAAUUUUGUUUCUAACGACUAAGGUUCAUUCUAGCAAAACCGCAUCAUGAAUCACUAACUUGGAAGGUGCAACUGGGCCGCCACUGUUGUAACCUCAAACUUCAAAAUCUCGGUCCGCCUAAUCAAUUUGAGCACUUGAUGAAACAAACCACCCACCCACCCUCGCUCACCAGUCCAACAAAAAUUAGGGGUAGCAAUUGGAUAAAAAAAGAGUCGGCGGAUCGGAUUGAGACCCGAAUAAAACUAAUAACCUGCUGAUUCGAACACGAUCCACCAACUCUAAACGGGUCAGAUAUCUGACCCGAAUCUAAAAAUUUCGGAUUGGCGGGUCAAUCCAAAUGCCUUGAAAUAUAAUUUCAAUUUUCUAAUUUAGCACUGUGGUUUCUAAUAGAACCAAUUUCGCAUAAGGCUAAUUACAUAAUCAAUUAAUAAAAAUCUCGAUAAAACAAUCCAAAACCAUAUCUGAAAUAAAUUAAAACAUUGUAAAAAUAUUUUAUCCCAAAUCAGAUCUAAAAUAAAUUAAAAUACUAUAAAAAUAGAAAAUAAUGUAAUAUAUCAUUUGUCCAAACAUAGUAAUUUCAAAUUCACACAAGUUAAACAAAUUCAUUUAGGAUUAAGUUGUUAAUGCCUUUGGGGAAAAAAAGAAUAACUUAGUUUAGUUAAAUAAAAUAUUUUUAUAAUUUUUAAAUUAUUUUUAAUUCAUAAGCGGAUUAUCAGGUCAACCCGUGGGUGACAUAAAUUCGACCUUUUUUUUUCGGGUUCAUCAGGUUCGAUCCGAUUUUGACCCGAACCCGCGAAAUCUCAACCAAAAUUCAUUAAUUUCGUGUUAAAUUCGUGUCGUGUCGAAAAAUUACCACCCCUGACAAAAACCAAGAAAGCCAUUCCACAUAACAACUAUUUUUUGAACUGAACAUUUUAGUAUAAAAGCAUAAGGGUGAAAAAAAAACUUCCUGUAGUAAACCUAAUGUACAAAAAAGUCCCCUGUGGUUUUAAAACGUACAAUAUAACACCUCAUGCUUUGAACUAAAUUGUAAAUGUGACGGAAUUCGUUAAAUUUAACGGAAAUAGACGAAAUGACCAAAAUGCCGUGAUGUAAUUAAGCAAAAGACAGCUCAAAAAAUCAUUUAUUUUAUUCAUUAGAUAGAGAGAAUUGAGGAUUAAGGGGUAGAAUAGGUAUAUUGGUUACAAAUUAAGUAUAAAUUUUUUUUUGUUCCAAUAAGUCAUUUCCGUUAAAUUUAACGGAUUCCGUUAUCUUUACAAUUUAGUUCAAAGUAUGAAGUGUCAUGUUGUACGUUUUGAAACCAUGGAGGAUUUUUCUGUAUAUUAGAUUUACCACAGGGAAUUUUUUUUUAUUUUUUACCCGUAUACAUAACGAAUUGUCUUUUCAACUAAUUAGUGCACCACCCAAUUUUUUGACUAUAAAUGCUCAAAAAUAGAUCCAUAGUCAUCUGACUAAUAUCUUUAUCCACGUUAAAUUUUAUUUUCUUUUCAAAUACAGGCAAAUUUGAGUAGUAUUGGGAAUACUUUAUUUUUAUUAAUUUUUCUGGCAAAGAGGAGUGAAAUUUAAUAAAUGAAAAGAGAGAAGAGAAAUUGAAAUUUAAGACCCCUAAAUCCUCAGACCUCAUCAAGUUAAGAUUGUUUUCUUAGUAGUCAAAGAAAUCGAAUCAACAACUUUACAUGUUUCUUAAUCGACAUUAAAACAAAAACUGCAUUAGAUUAUUGUCACACUUGUAUCUAUACUAUUUGAGGCCACAUAAAUAUAAUAUAGUCAUCUUUUCUUUUGUUUUUUUUUUGGGGCCAACACAGUAUGUGAAAUAUCAAGAUUCAAAAGAAUCCAUUCUUAUGCAUUCAAAAGAAUCAUUUUUUUUUUUUUGCUUUUUGUUAUUAAAUUCGGAAGUAAAUACCACAGGAACAUUACUCUCAUCUCAGUCGACUUGAGAAGUAAAUUUUAUUAUGAUAAUAAGAUAAUCUUUAAGAGUAUCGGAUAAUUAACAUACUGAGAAAAAUCGUUGGUUGGGAUGUGAGUUUAAAUGAUUUACUAGUAAUUGUUUGGUUAUGAUGACAUACUGAUAUAAUGAUAGUUGUGAGUUGUAACGUUUAAAAACUUCAAGAGCACCUGCGGUCACUUGCAUCGCACGUGACCUUCGCCUCAUUUGAAUUUCGGACUCCAGCGCCUUUUCUUCAAUUCACUUUUUUAAAGUUUGGAGUUCGCCCUUUCCUUUUGUUUUCUUCUCUGUCCACCGUCCCUCCCAAUUCCCCGUUCAAAAUCAAUCCAACCCUCAACGGUCACCCCUCCCAUCCUCCUCCGUCCCAACCCCUCAUUCCCACCUCUUUCUCCCCUCAGGUACAGUUCAAACUAUUCAACUACAUUUUUCACUCGUCACUAUACAUUUUGGUUGAUUUAUAGAAUAAUGUGGUUAAUGAGAUCUCGAAGGUCAAGAUUAAAAUGAUGGCCUUAGAGUUGGAUUUUUGAUUGUGUGUGCAGGCUCAAUUGAAUCUAGCUAGGGUUUCUGUUGCUUACUUCUUUUCUUCUUUCCUGUCGUAGUGAUUCAAAAUUUCAAAUUGCAUUGAGUGGAGAUGGACAGUUCUGAAGUUAAAGACACAUCUCAGUGUGUGAGGGUUGCAGUCAAUGUUCGGCCGCUUGUCACUCAUGAGCUUGUUGCUGGAUGCACUGAUUGCAUCACCGUUGUCCCUGGAGAACCACAGGUACUUGGGAUGAGUAUUCUUUUGUUUAAUACUUGGAAACUAUAUAAUUAUUACUAUUAUUUUUUAAAAAACAUGUGCUCUUUUGAUUGAGAAUUUUUUUUAAUUGUGUGUUUUUGGUCGCGAAUUUUUAGUGGAGUAUUGAGAUUUAGGUGCAAAUUGGGAGUUAUUGAGGUGUUUGUAUGCUCAAACAGGUUCAAAUUGGAUCACAUGCCUUCACAUUUGAUUAUGUGUUUGGGAGUGCUGGGUUAUCAUCUUCACGGAUAUUUGAUGAGUGUGUGGCUCCAUUAGUUGAUGCACUCUUCCACGGCUACAAUGGUACUGUUCUUGCGUAUGGACAGGUAUGGAACCUGUUUCUGAUAUUAAAUUAUUUUCUGCAACUUAAAGUCCUUUUUUUGUGUUUCCUUACCUUGUUCAAAAUUUGUUUCAUGUGAAAGACUGGCUCUGGAAAAACAUACACUAUGGGAACUAACUAUAAUGGAGAAGACCAUAAAGGAGGAGUUAUUCCUAAAGUAAUGGAAACCAUAUUUUCACGAGUAGAGGCUUUCAAAGCCUCUACAGAGUUUCUUAUAAGAGUAUCUUUUAUUGAGGUAUGGUAAUUUGGUUUUUCGGUGUAUUAUUACUAAAGUCUCAUAGUUCAUGUAUUGACCGCCUAAUUUGGUAUCAUGUUAUUUAUUUUAUGAUUUGCAGAUUUUUAAGGAAGAGGUAUUUGAUUUACUAGAUCCAAACCCCCUGCUAUUGCAAAAGGUGAUGGGGCAUCUAUAGCAAAACCUGGCCCAGCAAGAGCUCCCAUUCAAAUUAGAGAAACUGUCAAUGGUGGGAUCACACUUGCCGGUGUUACAGAGGCAGAGGUUAGGACAAAAGAAGAGAUGGCAUCAUACCUCUUGCGUGGUUCAGUAUCUCGUGCUACGGGGAGCACUAACAUGAAUAGUCAAUCAAGGUGUGUGCAUUGUUUUAGUGUUAUUGAUAAAAUCUACCUGUAUGUCUGUAACUUCUUAGAUUUUUGUGCAUUGUCUAUGAUGUUGACUAACGUAGUUAAUUUUAUAUGGAGGUGCUGAUUUAUGUCUUCAGUUACAUGAUGAUUCUUGUGUGCUCUUUACUGUGUGAGUCAUUCUUUUUUGUAAAGAGAGCAGAUACCAAAAUUACUCAGAAUUAUGGAUCCUCUAAAUCAUGUUAUCUUGUGCUACUCUCUCUCUCUCUAUCACUUCUCUGCUUAAAUUACUUUUUUCAAUCUCCUUCAAAAGCGUUAGGGCAUAAACCUGUAUAUAAUGUGGAUUAACUCUGCAAAACUAGCAUUAGUUAAACAUUUAUGCUUGAGGGAUAGAGAUUUUGUAGUUUCAGGUUUUGCUUGAAAGCAAAAAUUGCUUGUGAAGAUGCCAAUAAUGAGCUGGUCAAUCAACAUCAUCCCCUUCUUUUCUCUUCUGCCUCCCCUUUUUUCUGUUGUAAUGUUUCUGUGUCAAGAAUUUACUGAUAUUUCUCUGGAUGUCCCUGGGUUCAGAAUAUAUAUGACAAUUGGAGUUACUUAAACAAAGGUGUUAAUGGUGUCUUCAAGUUACUACAGUCAUAUGGCGCUUACAGUAGCUCUAACUCUUAAAAUGAAACUCAAUGUAUGCUAGUUGGGUGCUGCCUUUGAUUGAAGGAUACGUAGUGUAAGAGUUAGUUUCUAAUGACAAUUAGCUUGUUGCAGCUGAGAAAUUAAAUCAGAUCAUCACAAUCUUCUGAAAAAAUGUAAUAACUUCUCGUUUCUUCAUUGUAGCCUGCACUUGUUUUAGGAGAAGUAAUUUUUCUAUUGUUUUUUACCUGUUUAAUUUCUUCUUUAUCACAGUAAAUGUAUCGGUCUAGCUGACAGAGUUGUGUUAACAAGAAGUCUCAUUAAUCUUGGAGCAUGUUUCCAAUCUUAAUACGAAUUGUCAGUGCUCUCUUAUUAGCACCCUAGUGAAAUCUGUAGAGAGCACUCUAGAUAGGUUGCAUACCUUGAAGAAACCAGCAGAUUUAGCUGUUUUCUUGGCCUUUCUUUUAACUUACUCUUUCAGUCAUUACAAUGAGAAUUUUUUAAUGUUAGUGUUAUAUGAUUUUCAGUCGUUCGCAUGCAAUUUUCACAAUAUCAAUGGAACAAAAAAGAACAAGCAGUUGCUCUAGUGGAGACAUACAUGAUGAAUUUAGUGACGAAAUCUUGGGUGCUAAGCUUCACUUGGUGGACCUAGCAGGUUCUGAAAGAGCAAAGCGAACCGGAGCAGAUGGGAUGCGUUUGAAAGAAGGUGGAACUAUCCUUGAUAACUGAAAUAUAUACUCUGGCUACUGGACCUGCUUGAUGAUGCUUUUUUUCUUUAUUGUUUUUGCUACUUCUCAUUUAUUUGGCAUUCUUUUUAAUUGAAAAUAUGGAUUAGGCAUUCAUAUCAACAAAGGGUUGCUGGCUCUUGGCAAUGUGAUUAGUGCUUUGGGUGAUGACAAGAAACGGAAAGAAGGUGGUCAUGUUCCUUAUCGAGAUAGCAAAUUAACUCGGCUGUUGCAGGCAAGAGAUGUUUCUUUCUUUGCUUCCUUAUUCAUCCUUCCCAAGUUUCUAAACAACCAUAUAUUAUAAUAUGGUGUUCAUAUGUUAGUAUUUCUUACAUUUCCGUCUACUUUUCAACCUUAGUCAUAAUCUUUCUUACGAACAAAAUUUUUUCUAUUGCUUUAUAUGGCAUUGUGUUAGGACCAUGCAGUUAACAAGUAAAAGUACAUAUCAGAAUGAACUCUACGCGUAUUGAAUGCAAACAUAAAAAUCAGCUUAUUUCAAAGUAGUAAUCUGUUCUUGAAUCUUCAUUCUCAUUUUCCUUUUUCCUUUCCAAUCAGAAGACAUGAUCUUUCUGGUUUUUGUUCUCUGUAAGUUGUUUAUAUUGUUUGAACUUUUCUAGAGUGGUGGCUCCUAUUGAUGCUCAGUUCUAUUGACAAUUUUCUCUCAUAAGGAUUGCAUUGCAUGCCUCCAUAAAUACCAUGUGUCCUAACUAAUCCUGAUUGUGCUUUCAUUUUUUUAACAUGAUUCACUAUAUUUGUGGUUGUCCUGUCUGGCCAGCUUGAUUUUCCUUGCGUGUCCUUGAUGUUAUAUGUAAUUUAAGCAAAUCUACCAUUGCUAACCUUGGGAAUAUUCUGUUUCAGGAUUCUCUUGGAGGGAACAGCAAAACAGUAAUGAUUGGUAAACUUUUAAUUUCGUUUGCCAAGAUGCUUUAUAUCUGUCCUCAGGAACAUGAUAUGCUGUUUUAUUAUAUGAUUUUGCUGGGCAUUUCAUCAUUUCUUUAAUUAAUGUCACUUAACUCUUCUAUCUUUUGCAUUUAUGUGGUAGCUUGCAUCAGUCCAGCAGAUACAAAUGCAGAGGAGACACUAAACACUCUGAAGUAUGCAAAUCGUGCUCGUAAUAUUCAAAAUAAAGCAAUUGUAAGUUUAAUAUUGUUAAGAAAAAUCAUAUUUUUUUUAAUUCAAUCAGUAUACUCACCUACUUUUAAUUUCUAGAUCAACCGUGAUCCAUGGCAACUCAGAUGCAAAGAAUGAAAAAUCAAUUGAACAGUUGCAAGCUGAGCUUCUUUUCUUUCGUGGAGACUGCACUGUUCCUUUUGAGGAACUUCAGGUUUCAUUUUUCCUCAUAAGUGUCAGUCUGUCAGUUUCUUAGUUGCUGUGAUUGGGAGGAUGAUUAAAAUGAUUAUCAUUGUGUUGGGUUGUGCAUAUAGAUUUGAGGUGGUUACUUCUUAGCUAAUACAAGAGGCUGUAUUAUCCUUUUAAUUAAUAACCUCUGUCCAUAAGUGUGUCUCGGUUAGAAAUUGACUUGUUCCUUCUGCCCUACAGAUUCUUAAGCAUAAAAUUUCUUUGCUUGAAGCAAGCAAUGCACAACUACAGCAGGAGCUUCAAGAACGUCGAAUUACUUGUGAUCAUUUGACACAACGAGCCCUAGAUGCUCAGGUAGUUUUAUUUGUGUAAUUGCCAAUGUUAAAAUGAUCUAUUUACGGCAUCCAAGUUAGAUGCAUUUUUGAAGCCGCUUACAUCAAAAUAAUGUAUUAGGUGGAGAGGAUAGGCUUGUCAUGAAGAUUGAAUCAGCUCGAAGUCAAAAAUCGUGGAAUGAAAUAGAUUCUGAUUCUAAUCAGGUAGAUAGGAUUCCUGAUCAAUUUGCCAUGUAGUUUGGGAAACUUGGCUAAUAUAAAUUUUCAAAUUUCCUACAGGAUUUUGAUUUGUUAAAAGGAUAUGUAUCCAAGAUACAAGAAUUGGAAGGAGAAUUAUUGCGGCUCCAAAGUGCUAACCAUUUAAGGCAGAAUGAUUUUGUUGACUACGUUAGUUUGGAUGAUAGCGGGCUUCAUUCAAAAGAUAACUGUUUUGCAGAGUCCGAAACAAAAGCUGAUAAUUUAAGUGGUGAGCUACCAUAAGCUGUUCCAUGAUAAUUAUGUACACUCUUGUUUCUGUGUUUGUUCAGGUGGCUGCUAUGCGGUGGAUGUUUCUUGUUGUGGCUUUCUAGUAUUUUAUGUUGCGCAUUAUCAUUGACUCUGCUUGACAAGAGGAUUAUGUUGCAACAACUUGUACCUGAAUGGUCGUGAUUUAUGUUUGGAAUUUGACCAAGUUGAUUUCAAGUUGCUGGUAGAAUAAUGUUCUUUCAUAUUUGUUAGGUGUGUUUGAGGAUGAGCAGAAAGAGCGAGAACAUUCUUCUCUUCAAGAAAAAUUGGACAUGGAGCUCAAAGAAUUGGACAAAAGACUUGAACAGAAGGAGGUAUGUGGUAUCUCUUCAAGUAAUUAUAUUGGUUGGCUUAAAUCUAGAAGCAAUUGUUACCUUGUAACUUCUGAUUUCACCUUGACCUAUUAUAUCUGUUUAUAGGCUGAGAUGAAGCGGUUUGCAAAUCCUGAUACCUCAACUCUUAAGCAACAUUAUGAUAAAAAAAUUCAGGAGUUAGAACUCGAAAAGAGAUCCUGCAGGUAUGUCUUUGAGUAUGAUGAUUUUAGUUGAUAAUUUCUUUGUUUCUGAGCUAAUUUUCCAUUGCAGAAAGAGAUCGAGGAACUUAGACAUAAUCUUGCAAAUAUAUCAUCUACUACUGAUGAUAGUGCUCAGAAGCUGAAGGAAGAUUAUCUUCAAAAGUUAAAUGUCCUUGAAGCUCAGGUAUUCCUUCAACUGUUUUUUCCCCCACCAAACUUUAUGUCUGGAUAAUAAUUUCGGCCUCUGCAGGUUGUCGAGUUGAAGAAGAAGCAAGAUGCUCAAGCCCAGCUUUUGAGACAAAAGCAAAAGAGCGAUGAGGCUGCAAAACGACUACAGGAUGAGAUACAGAGGAUAAAAACACAGAAGGUACAGGGUCUUGGUAUUUGAUACUUGUUUAGAUAUAGAGAAUCCCUUGCUUCUUCUAAUGGCAUUCUAUUGUCUAAAAGGUUCAAUUGCAACAAAAGAUAAAGCAAGAAUCUGAGCAAUUCAGGUUAUGGAAAGCAUCACGUGAAAAAGAGGUCCUUCAGGUACUACAGUUUUUUCACUAUUCCAUUUGGCUUCUUCUUUUACUACAGAUUUUUACCAGAAGAUGGAACACCAAACUUAAAUAGUGAAAUUAUGAGUAUUAGGCUCUAGUGGUGCCCUGGUGCUAUCUCAUUGACUCGUGUUACUUUUGUAUGGAUAGCAAGUUGUUAAGUGUGGUAAUGUUGCUCAUAUUUUGCAUAAGCUCUGAAAUAAUGGUAAAUGGGAAUCUUUGAGCCACAAGACAACAUGUACUUUUUUGAUUGAAAGAUAAGAGUCUGCGAGGGACAAGAAGGCAUUCAAGAUCCAAGUAGUAGAAUUGCAAGUACAUAAACAAGUCAUUUUAAUGGUACUGAAGUAACAGGCACUAACAAAAGUUUCUUUAUACUGGCAAGAUUUUUGUCCUAUUUAACUACAGACUCUAGAUGGAAUCUUACAUUGGAUGAACCUUAAAGGUAGCAAGUAGGUUCUAUUAACGAUUUAUCGAGAACCUGUUUCCACUAAGGGAGUUCUCAGCUUUAGCUUGCUUCCUGGAUGUGUAGUUUAUGUCAUGUUUUUAGAUGUUGGCAGACAGAGUACAAUGUGGAAGUAACUACACGUGAUGUCAGCCUUUGUAAAUAAACAAUUGAUUCAAAAAUCAACAAACAUGUAUUAACAUUUUUAGUUAGUGCGUUGCUUUUCUAAAUUGGAAUCAUGCUCCAUUUCCAGAAUGUAAGCCAGUACUUCCUGCUAUUGAGAGUUAAGACUUCGGUAUUAGCCUGUAGCAAAUAUAUUUUUUGUCGGUCCCACCACCCCCAGCCCACCUCCCUUUUAGUUUUCUCUGUUAAGGCAAUUAGUGCUUUGCAAUGAAGGAAGCAUUAUAAUUUCCUUAUUCGUAUACAAUGUGCUCCUGUAGUAUGAACUAAUUUUCUAAGUCUAUUCCAAACAUAUAUGCCAUGGUUCCUUACUUCGACAGGGUACAAAUAUCUAAAUUUGAUAUUUUUAGAUACUUUUUCAGACCUAUUGCCGAUACUAAGUAGCAGUCAAAAAUUGGUAUCCAUAGUUUGCUUCGUCUCUUCUCUCCCAUCAGUUGCUUCGUCUCUUCUCUCCCAGCAGGAAAACAGGCAUCAUCACCUUUUUUUUUUUUUUUUUUUUUUUUUCUUUCUUCUUCUCUGUUUCGCUUUCGUCAUCGUUUGGUUGUGAUGACUGUUGACCGAGCCCUUAUUCUCUUGACUAGAUGAAAGGUCGAGAAUGGAAUGGUGCUUAACAGCCUCUUCCUAAACUAUAGCCAACAAGAUUCAAGAAAACUGUAACUCCUUCAUGAGCAUAGUAGCAUUGUAAUAGCAUUGUACGACGUGUGAAUAUUUUUCCAUGCUGCUCCUCUUUUGCUGUACUUAUUCGAGUUACUUUUUAGUCCCUAAAGUGUUAGGAAAAAUGGUAGUAUAGUUUGCAACAUUUGGGGCCAAUUAACAUCUUGAGACCCGCAAUCACUUUAUCUUAGUCUCUUUUGAUGAAAAUUUGAAGAACGUUUUCUUAUUAAACUUUUUUUAAGAGAAUCAAUAGUGAUUGUCUACUUAUGCCUUUCGACAUUUUGAACUCGUGAUCUAUCGGUUAUAGAUGAAACGUCUUAUCACCUAGACUGCGCUUCAUUGUCAAAUUUGAAGAAAGCUUUGAAAACAAAAAGAAAAAAAAAAGAUUAAGGAUUUUAACAAAGCAGAGGUGGAAAAAAAAAAAAACUGCACGCGACAUUACUAGCUUCAACACUUUUCUCUUCCCAUAUCAAAAAAGGCAUUCAUUGUUACUAUUCAGUGGGACAUUGGCUCAGCAAGAGAAUUUGGCACCUCCUGCAGCACAUUUUCAUGCAGCCACAUAAAAACAAAGCAUACCAGCUGAAUGAUCAGCGUAGACCAAUCACAUUCUCUGAACGAUUCAGAUAUUCAAGAUACACAACCAAAAAAAAAGGUGGGGAAGGGUAUAAUUUCAUAUUCCUUUCACAAAAAAAAAGAAAGAAGCAUACCGUCCAAAUUAUCAGUAGCUCAAUCACAUCCUCUGGACAUGUUCAAAAGAAAAAGGUACAGCUUCACAUGCUUCUUCCAGCAUAUGCGUCGUGCUCUGAUAAGCAUCUUUGCAAUGUACACAGUUUUAGGUUACAACACAAAUAUAAGAGUUCCACAUUGACAAGUUUACGAGUCAGCCUGCAGAAAAAUGUCACGUUGAGUUUUAGUUUCUCAAUUAACAAUAAGACCAUCAAUACAGAUGUCUUGUUGCAGUUGCUGACUAGUUUACAAGGUGAAAUUUCUCUAGCCACUCUGCAAAAUCCCCAAAAUUUAGGCAUAAGCUACAUAACUUCCACCACCCCUUUGUCAGUAAGAAAUGCCGAAUAGACAAUUUCAGCUAUAUUGCUGAAUAAAGCACCAUGACAAUGGACCAAAAUGUCGUUAUUUUAUCCUCCCAGUUGCAAAACCCGCGCAUAGUUAUUAAAGCAGAAGUCUGUUCAGACCCCUGCACCAGUUCUCAUGAAUGGAGAUGCAGCAGGAGGGAUCAAACCAAGAGCUCGCAUUAUUUUCAGUCUGCGUAAACUCGGAUCUCUAGAUUUUUCUACCAAGGAUGGCAACUGCUAGUAGCAUAAUAAAAAGCUAAGUCAACAAAUGCUGCCCAGGAGAUGAAGGAUGCAGAAUGCUCAAAAGAAAGCAAAGAUAAAAUUGACCCACAACUUCAUGUUUAGUUGCUUUUGCAUUCUUCUGCUUCCCCGCUUCCAUCUGUGUUUGAUGAAUCUUAAAAGAAUGUGCAUGAUUCAACAAGAUACAAACUAUUUGAUGAGAAAAAGAAAAACAAUGAGUUAAAAAAUAACUAGAGACAACAAGGACUAGCACACGCUCACAGAACUCAGCCUGGGUGUCUUUAGGGUUGCAUUCUGUGUCUGAUCUUUACUUCUUGAUGGUUCGGCUCUCACUGAAAGUGAAUCAUGAUUUUUUUCCCUGGCCUCUGCAUUCUGAACGAAAAUAAUCCUAAAACUAUAAAUUUUGUCUCAUGAAGCACAAAAACAAGAUCCAGUACGAAAGUGCAAGUAUGAAUUGUAAUCUGCUCACAGAAUUUGGGCUCUUUGGUUUAAGUUUUUCAUGACUACCACUUUCCGUUUCCUCCUCCUCCUUUCCUUGCUCAGACUUUGAAGUCGUCUUGCCCUUUUUAACUGAAUUCUGUGCAGCAGUACCAUUUGAAGGCUUCUUUUUUGAGGUUUUUACCUGAUAUAAUGUUCAAUUAAAGGAAACCAAAAACCCCAGAACAAAAAUGCAAGCCUUGCAAAGAGGAAAUUAAGGUAUGUAAGACCAGAAAAGAUGUUUACUCACAGAUACUGAAGUGGCUUUUGGUUUCUUGGGCUUUAUAUUAGGCUUUGGUUUUCUGCUUUCUGCACUCUUACUUUUUGAUAGUAAUUGUACUAGGGAGAUAUUCCCCUAAGAUCCCAAAAUUGUUUCAACAAUAUGAUAGGAAGACAAUUAAGAUUCAUCCUUAAAUGGAACCUAGAAUUGCAAAUUACUCACAGAGUUCUUCACUGGCUCCAAUUUGAUCUCUUUUCUGCGCUUUGCUUCUGGAGUUGGCUGCAUUUAUCAUACAAAUGCAAAGAAGAAAAUGAAAAGCUCAACAAGUCAAACAUGAGAAAAUGCAAAUGAAGAAGGGAAGGAGCCUGUAAUCACAGAAAUUAUGCUAUUUGACUUGGGUUUCUUCUGCUCAUCUUCUUUUUUCCUUUUCCGGCUUUUCUCUUCUUUGCUCCUGACUGAAUCCAAAUUUAUUUCCUUCGACUUUUUUGUCAUUAACUUGGUAUUUAGCUUUUCCAAAUUUGAUUUUACCUGAUACACAAAAUUGCAGAUGCACAUGAAUUAAAACAUAUAGAUAAUGAUCCAAUCAAACAGGCCCAUUAAGAGGCUCAGACCAUAAAAAGCUCAAGAAGCUACGGAGUAAAUAAAACAAAGCACAGAUUUCCAUUCUAAUGCAUUUCUUGAGGACUGCAUUACUUUGCUUUUCUUCAGAAGUGUCAGUAUGAAUUCCAAACAUUACUAUAAACCUUCAACAAUUUAGACUCCCUGAGCACUCACAGUUGGGUGGUGAUAUUGCAAUGAAGGAAGAAUGUGUUCAUUUUCCCCUUGAUUUUACCAGACGAAAAAGAAGACAAGACAAACUUACAGAUGAAAGGGAUUUGAUAUUCUCGCCUUUGUCAAUUUUAGUUUGCUUUUCCAUUUUAUUUUGAGAUGCCUCAGCCACAACUGUUCCUGCUCAAACAACCAUGCAACUGUGAAAAGUAAGAUAAAUAACUGAGUACUUUGAAUUAUGACUAACACUUUCAAUAACUACCAUCUUGUGAGUUUCUUAAGUGCAACUUUUUAAUACCUCAUAAACCUAUUACCUUCACAAAUAACAUAAGCAUCAGUAUUAACGAGAUUGGGGCGCAGAGACGAGCAAAAAGCUUCAAAUGUUUCUUCCUUCAUAAUGAUUAAUCACAAAUUAAGUAAAGAAAAGACAGCAAAUCAGAAAGAGAAUAAGAGAAGUCAAGCUGUGUCAAAAACUUUUUGAUGCCCCAAAGUAGGAAGUGCGUAACAUAAAAUUCAACAAAGUUUGGUCAUGUAGUUAAGAAAAGAGAGAGAGACUAGAAAGAGGGUAAGAGAACUGGUAAGCUAAGUCAAAAUCCUUGUGACAUACCAAAAGGCUAGUACGCCCCAUAAAAUGGAACGAACAAAAAUGAAAACUUCAAUAAACAUUAUUUUGAUAGAAAACUAGAAGGAAGCUACCUCUCUCUUGAAUUAAAUAGUUUCUCAUAUUACUCAUGUAAAAAAGCAAAAAAACAAAAAAAAAAAGGGAGCAUAAAAUGGUAUACAAAAUCAAAAGAUGGGCUAACCUUUUGUUUUUUGCUUACAUGAACCUGAUUUGGAGCGCUGGAGUUCCUACAGUUCAAAUCCAUUAUUGGUAAGAUACAUUCAAAAGGAUCAUUUAAUUUUCUGGCCUAUAAUGAAGCAUAAAGCACCUAUGCAUUGCCUUCUGCAUAUGAAUUUGACAAGAAAGAAUUACCUGCUUCAUAGCUUCACUCAGAAUAGCACACUAUGACAACUCGUGUAUCCCUUGCAUCUUAUCAUUGAAAGGUAUAGACAACAUAACUGUUCAGAACACUGUUAAAGGGUGCAUGGACAAAUUUAAAUGCUCAAACUCCAAGCCAAGUUGAAUAGGAUCUUACAAAAAGAUGCAGGAAGAGGAAACUGCUGCCACAACUUCAAAAUUAACAAAUUAGUGCAGAGACCAAACAACCAAGCAGCAAAGGGCCAGUUCCAACUUGUAGUGUCCUUACAGUGGAAUGAGAUCUCCACCUGUUUUUCUCCACUUCCCUUUACAUCUUCCACUUACAGUGCCUUCAUCAACCUACCAUCAAAUGAAGUAAAAAUAUGACUCACUUUUGUUCUUUGCAAGAUACAGAAUGUACUAAUUUCACUGGCAGUAACAUUUAUUUGUGAAAUGCAGGAGAACUAAGGUUUUUUUGUAAUAAGAAUAUGGAGCUGAACCAACAAAAUCGCCAGAAUGAUAACUCUUGCGAGAUUUGAAAAACAGUAGUCGCUCUCUCAUCUAUUUUUCCAACAGAAAAUCUGUUACUUGCCCUUAGUUUAUCUUAGCGUCUGCAACUGAAUGAUCAAUUUUGCAUUCAUGCACAUUGCUAUAUGGAGUUGCACGUUAUCAGAUCAACAAUAGACAUCACACUGCAAGAAAAUUUACUGACAUCUAGGUUUUUCAAGUAUUUGAUCGUACUUAAAGCAAUUCAAGCUGUACAGAGCAAUAAUAGGUCAUACUAGAUAUCAACAGACUGCAUUAUGCAAUAUAAGGAAACUGAAUGUAUCUUAUAUCUUCCCUUUCAAUAUACAAAAGCGGCUAAUCAUUAUCAUCCAUAUAUCUACAUUAAAUAGCAUUUAAGAGUGCAUUAUUUUGAAACACAAAUGCAUUGAAAAAUAUACCCCUACCGUCAAUCACAUCCACAUGACAGAAUGGCUGCCCAUGCAACACUAUAGCUUCAAGCAUUUCAACCACUCACAUCCUCAAAGAACCGCUGCAUAAAGUAAAGAUCUUUGUUGCACAUGCUCAGUGCAGGUCUUCAGGAUGAGAAUGCCUAAUGGUUCUAGGUAUCAAGUUCUACAAUUUCCUCAAAUCUAGGAUAUUGAGAUGCCAAGACUAUCAGAGAUGUCUAGAGGUAAAGGCAAUUUUCAAACUCCGAAGCAUGAAAACUUUACUCUACAUUAGGUACAUCCAGUUGUUGGAACUAGCAUGAAAUGGACAGAUAUCAAUAUCAAGGUCUGCUGGAAAGCUGCAAAUUCUCAACAAUUAAAACAAAAAAAGGCAAAAAAGACAUUGUCAUGUUAGAGCAGUUGAAUGCCCCUGCAUAACUACGAACAUAUACCAAUGGUCCAGCAUUGCACUUCAGUAACAAUCAAAGAUCAAAAAUCUAGUAGGACCACAAAUUGUAGCUAAAUUAUUACAAGGCAAUAAAAUCAUUUCCGCUGCAGCUCAAGGGUUAAUACUUUUAGUUAACAACAUCAGCUGUGAAUUGUCAGAAAUUGAAAGUCAGCAGUUAAUUUAACACAGGAGAUGCUCCAAUUAACAGCACUGAGAGACCACAUUUUAGCCCAGAGCGUUCAUAUCGACACAAUCGCAAAAAAUAGGGGAUUAAACCCAGUGGUAACCAAGCAGUAUUGGCUUUCAUCGAUCUUAAAUUAAUCAAACUACAACCAAAAUCAAAAGAAAUGAACCAAGAAACAAGAAAAACAUUCAAGAAAUCCUCCUGCCCCUUCUAAUUUCCCCAGUCCCCAAGUCCCAUUUCCAAAUAAUAACUAUGAAUAUUGGAAAGAAAAAGGAUAAAUUAACUUACGUGUAGAAGUGAAAAGAGUCCAGAAAAACUUCAGAUGUUAGCUGUCAAAAAACUCAAAACUCUUUCCGUAUAAUCUGCACUUCUUGUUGGAGAGUGGAGACAAUGGGGAGUGAAACAAAUGUGGCCAAUUUACAACAGCACUUGCGCAGAAAUGAGAGUUCCCAGACCUUGGACGACUUUUUCCCUUCAAUGUCUCCCAGGUCCUAAUAACGAAACCAAAGCCAAAAGGAAAACAAGAAGGGAUAAAGAGUUAAUUACAAAGUACCCCCUCAAAAAACCACAUGCCUUGCCUUGCUUGUUAUUCACAUGGAUGAUGGAACAAAUCAAUUCUCUCAGCUUUUUAUGGUUUCCCAUUGCCGAGCGCUCCUAAAUUGCCUUCCAGUAUGAUGAUUUUGUAACGGGAGAUGCAUGUAUAUUUAUUAUUGUGAUGAAACGACAGCUUUUUUUUUCGGGUCUAAAUGGGUAUCCAAAAUUACCCAGACUAAUCCCUUAGUUGGGCAGAGUUUCGCCCCAAAUAUGCCCAGCAACAAUAGCACAUGGGGAUCGAAUCUGAGACCUUACUGUAAUUAUAAAUGAUCAAUCCCAACCGAGCUACCCACGGGAGCACGAUAAAACGAGCUUGUCAUAAAAUUCAUUAUUUGUGACCUAGAGUUGGAAAAUGUACACUUGAAAAUUAUUAUUAAGUCUAUUAUUUGUUCUUUUUCAACUUCAUGUUUAAAAAUGGUGAACACAUAUUUGUGGGUAAAUGUUGAUUUCCUUUGCCGAAGAAUCUCCAAUUUUAUUGUUCUAUGCAAGAUGUACAUGUAACGUAAUAAAGUUGUAACUAGGGCUGUGCAUCGAAAUCGAAAUCGGUAAAUCGGAAGUUUGAAAUUGGAAUUUUUUGAAAUUUUGACAUGAAUUUUUCCGACCGAAUUCGAUUUCGAAAUGGCCAAUUCCGAUUUCGAAUUCGAUACCCGAAUUUCGAAUUCACCGAAUUCAAACCUACUCUACUCUUAGUCUACUGCACUUCCUCCCUUCUCGGUCUAUUGCUAUUCUACUUCACUCUCACCGACCACUGCAAACUCCUGCCAGUCUAAGUCUACUCCGUUUUCUCCAACUUUCUCUACGCUACUUGUGAUUUAGUAAGUAGUACAAACUGCAAAGAGAAACGACCAAUGGAAGGAGGGUUGGAGCUGAGUAAAGUGACGCUGGAAAUCUUCUCCAAGCUCGAGCAACAGUGGUUGCAUCACUGCCAACCCCCCAAGAAGACUCACAUUCUCAGUAUCGACGGCGGCAGAGUCGGCUCCCCCUCUGCCAUCUUCGCCGCUCAUUCCUUGAUCCUUCUCGAAGACCAGAUCCAUGCCAAAUCCGCUGAUUCCCAAUCUCGCAUUGCCGAUUUCCUCAAUCUUAUCACCGACACUGGCAUUGGAGCUCUUUACGCUGCAAUGCUUGCCGCCGACGACGGUUAUGGACGUCCUUUGUUCACCGCCAGGGAUGCCGUCAACUUCAUCGCCCAAAACUAGUCCCGGCUCUUUAAAGUCAAGGGCACCCUCACCCUUUCAAGCUUGCUUUUGGUUACCGAUCCGAUCGCAAGUAAAUGAGAUACUCUAAAUAUACCAACCCUGUCCUCUGUUCUGGGUGUAGUCUAUCGCCCUUUCGGCCCACUGAGUAGGCCUUUUUCUUUCAAUACGACGGCCUCAGCUUAUUCUUUUAGACUCGUCCCACGAAGCGGUUUGGAACUCGUUUCGUAUGCGGUAUCACCUCUUUUAGUUGAUUGUCCCGGCGAACCUGAGUAUGCCUCCUUUCCGCCAGCCUAGGCUUCGGAAUUCUCGCCGACAAAGGUUCUCUGGCAGGAGCAUGGAUGUGGCGUGAAGAUGGAGGUGAAACUGAGAGUGAGAGAGAGUAAGUUGAGGAAGUAGGAAAUCACAGUGAGUCGGAGACGGAGGAAGGAAGGUGAGACAGUGAGUCAGGCGGUGGAGGCGGUAGAGAUGGAGGAAGGAAGGUGAGAGAUAGUCUUGAGAGACGAUGAGGAAGAGGUGGCGAAGAGUAACAAGAGUUAACAGAUUAGGUUUUUGCAAUUUCAAUUGUUAGAUGUAUCAGUAUUAUUGUUAUUAACUUAUUAUGUUAUAUAAUAUAUAUU